AAACAGUAGAGGAAACAAAAUGGAAGGUUCUGAAACAUAACAACCGAAUCAGAGGCACAGCAGAUAAGAAAAAAGUAAAGACGAUAAAAAAUUCAAGAAGCAACUUACAGCUAACACAUGAAGAUUGUUUCCCCAACCUUUCUCAAAAGCCUUGGCUAUGAGCUCGCCAAUCACUCUGUCACCAUUUGCUGCAGCCGUUCCAAACUUCAAUUUAAAAUGGGAAAAAAAGCGCGUCAAAAUGAAAUAUAUUUCUGUGGAUUAUCAUUAAAUUGAGCAAGAGUCUAAAGUGAGAAAGAAAACCAGGGCUAUUUGUUCGAAUGAUGUGAUGGGUUGUGCUGUGCUGUAUAAAUUUCCCACAAGUGCAUCAAUUGCCAUUCUAGCCCCUUGUCUUUGGUCUGGCACUUCCGCAUCCUCCCGCAUAUAAAAUUCUCCCUUUUAACUUUAGAAUUGGUGCCUGCAGACAGAAGAUAGAUGUCAAUUGAAUUUGAUCAGAUGAUCUGUAUCCAUUAAUUAACUCCAUUCCCAUUCACAGCAAAUCUAAUUUCUUAAUUAAGAAAAUCCAGAAGAUGUUUCACAAUCCAAAAAUCUUUUAGUGACUUCCGCCGCGGUAUACUGUCUGCUCCGAGUUAAAUGAACCUGACACAGAAUUAAAUUCAACGAAAUUAACUCAACGAAAUUAAUCAAUUGAACUGAAUAAGCCAAGCCAGAAUUAGUUAUUAUUAUUUGAAAAAAGGAAACAAAAAACACUAAUAAAUGAAUGAAUGAAUCAUCACCGGCUGAAAAUUGUUAUCAAGCAACCUACAAAAUCAAAUUAACUAACAUAAACAAAAUGAGAGAAGUGGAAGGAAAACAAAGUAAACAAAAUAAAAAUUUGGUAAACUGUGAAGGAGAAGUGCACCUGACUUUGGAGGCGAGGUUAGAGGCAUGGCGCAACAUCGUUUGUGAUUUUGUUGCGCAGAAAGGACAGAGGAAUUCGAUUGACCAAAACAGAACAGAGACUUAAUGAGACUUAAAAGGCAGUUUUGUUUGGUUGGGUGGGUUUUGUGGGUCCCUUGUGGUGGGAUUGAGUCGGUUAGAAGGUGCGUAUUUAAUGAAUUUUCUAGUUGGACACUCGGACUCGGACUCGGACUCGGACUCGGGGUCUUUCACUUUACUAAUCAAAUAUACCUGAAUGAGAUUGAAAUGAGGAAAUCUUAGUGCCUGCUCGCUCUUUCAAUUCGUCUUUCAAAUUCUCUUUAUUCAGAACCAUUUUAUAUAUUAAACUUAGGACACUUUCCACAUAUAUUCGUAAACAGCUCGAGAUUGCUCAGUUACAUGAAAUAUUCUAUUCAUUUACUCUUUUAUUUUAUUUAUUUAGUGUUUAUUUGGUAUGGCUUAUGUAAUGUUCAUAAGUGCUUAUUUAAUUCCAUAAGCUCUUAUCAUAAUUUUUGUUUUUAUUUGGUUAUUUUUUUUAUAGAAUUUUUAGAGUUUAAAUAAGCUAUUUUGCCUCUACUAACGAAAUCUCAAAUUUUGAGCUUUUGAGAGUAGAGGUUGAAAAGUUUUUUUUAAAAUAUUAAAAUAUCUAAAAUAUUCUCUACUUAUUUGACAUUAUUUUCAUAACAUAACUUAAAAAAACUUGCCUAUUAAAGUAAUUUUAUAAAUUUUUAAUAAAAGCUCUUAUUGACAACCAAACAUCUAAAUUUUUUUAAGUAAAAGCUCUAUUUGUAAAAGCUCUACUAUCAAAAUCUCUACUUGAAAAGUUGUAUCAAACGGAGCCUUAAUACAACUAUCUUUACAUGUAUAGCUUGUGGUUGUUAUUUUAAUUAAAGUACUGUGGAUAGAAAUGAUUAUAAUGGAUUGCUUUGAUAUCUGAGUUGGGAUGUCUUAUCUUGUUUUGAUUUGUAUUGACAUUGUUUGAAUUUGUGUUUUAAUAUGGUUAAUACCACUAAUUUUUAUUUUCUUUCUUUUAAUUUACUUAUUGAUAUCAUGUUUGUGAAAGUUUAUUGUUAAAGUUUACGUUCUCAUUUAUUGAGAAAUAAUGAUUUUUGUAAUUAAAUUUUAUUUUAAUUUUCUAAUAUUCUUUAAUUUAAGGAUAAAGUUAUUGUAAAAUCUAUUAUUUAUAAUUUUUUAUCCACUAUAUUUUUUCAUAUUUUAAUAGUAAUGUAAUAAUUAAUAAAAUUAAUAAUUAUUAUAAUUUUGAUAUAAUUAAAUUUAUCAAAGUAAAAAAUAUUUUGAUUAUAAAAUUCAAACAAAACCCAAAUGAAUUAUUUAGGCUCGGUUAAAAAUAUUUGGGUUGGUUUAGGUCAGGCCCAAAUUUUUAUAAUUUAGUUCGGAUUGUUUUAAAAUCUAACCCAAACCAACUCAUGCCCACCCCUAACUGAUUCCACAUUUGAGUCCAAAGUUCAAUCAAAGUUUGAUCCCUAUUUAGACCAAAAUAGACUACAUGGACAGUCAGAUCCAACGGGACCAGUCCAAUGUGGUUCUCAAAAUUAGAUAUCAAAUUAAGUAAAUAACACUAAGCGCCCAUCUAUUUUGUCUAAACAUUACACCAUGCAUACAUUAGUAUUAAAAUCUAAUGAAAAAGAAAUCACGAUCAACCAUUUGUUUUGGUUUUAGUUUAACAGGCUUAGAUUAUCAUUUUAGUCUCGCUACAUUUCGAGAAUGUAUUAUAAUCACGUAAAUUUAAAUCCCGAAUAUAGUUGGCUUAACCAUUGCAAUGGAAGCAAGAAGUCACGAGUGCAAUUCUAAGGGUAUACAUUUAAUUUGAUGAUGAGGAGGGGUAAGAGUGAAAUGUAACUUAAAAACUCUCGAUGAAACUUCUGAAUAUUACAUAAAUAUAUUGUAAUAUGAGCUUAUAAAAUCUGAACGUCUGUACUUUAAAAGGAUGUGUGCAUUCUUAUAAGAGGACUACUUUCUGAAGAUGCAACAAUUAUUUUCACAUCUCAUUGUCGUUAAAGCUGACUUGAAAACUCAUGAAUUAUUCCUUCUAAAAAAAUAAAUGAAUGAAUUGCUAGUUAAACAACUUUUGAGCUUAUAAUUUUCAAGUACUGCUUUUUUCUUUUUUGGUCUUUCACCCUUUAAAAAAAAAAUUAGUAUUUCAUUCAUCUCCUUCCCACAAGAUUAAAAUCAGAGCUUAGAGAAAAAUCAUGUAUUUUUGCCAACUUAAAUUUGAGCGCGCAUUAAAGACGCUAGCUAAAACGUGCACAACCAUGGAUGUUGUUGCCAUGUGAAUUCAAUGACUGUAGUAGCGCAAUUGUGUAGUGGCUGAUUGAAGGUUUUCGUAUUGAGGUUUGUUUAGGUCAUUAGUGAUAUUCAUCUGCUGAUGGAACGAAUGAGUGCUUUUUGAGUUCAACCUGUCUCUUGAAAUUGCAAAGUAUCAACUCAAAAGCUAGCAGAAUUUGCAAAAGUCGUCUAGUCGGUGGUGGAAUUAAGAUUUUAAUUUAGGGGUUGCGAAAAUAUGAAGAAAAUUGAGAGUUGCCUUGAAACAUAUAUUGGGGAUCAUUUUGAAAACUUUUUAGUUUUCACAUUAUUUUUUAAAAAUAAAUUUUGAAACCUUGGCAACCCUUGCUAGGCGUGAAUGUAGUUCCGCCUCGACGACUAGUGUUGUAGUUCGGCUGGAAAAUGUUUUAGUAGAACUUUAUACUCUUUUGUCAUGAGAUUAAUGCAAUUUUUAUGCUCAAUAAAAAAAUAAAAAUAUGCUUUAUGAAAACUAUUUAAAAUUUUUCUCCAUUUAACUGGCUCUAGGGAUGGCAAUUGUGUCUACAAACCCGCCCAAAUCCACCCGCCAAAACCCGUCUGCUUCGGAUAAUUUUGUGGGUUGCGGGUGGGUUUGGUAUUACAAAUUGAAACCCGCAUUUGGAUGCGGGUGGAUUUGGUAUUAGCCCAAUAUCCAGCGAAUACCCACAUGGAUAUCCGCUAGACUCGCAAUAUUUUUUAAAUAUUUUUAAUUGAAAAAUAUUUAAAUAUUUAAUAUAUAAAGAAAAUAAUGCAAUUAUGCAAAGCGCCAAAUAACCAAAGUAUAAACAAGUUUAGUGUGUAUAACAAUGCAAAGUGCCAAAUAACCAAAAUGUUUUUGUAUGGACUAUUUUUCUUUAACUUAAUGCAUGAAUUAGUUCAUUAUAUAAGUUUUUUCGGAUUAGUAUUUGAAAAAUAUUAUUUUUUGGAAAAUAUUAAUCUUAAUCAUUAUUGUAGGCAUCAUGUUGGAUGGUUGCUAAUGAUGGUGAAUGAAAUGAACAUCUUUCUUGGAGCUUGUGUUGAAUGAUAAUAUGAGAUGUAAUUGUUAUUUUUAGAUAUUAGUUUGUCGUUUUUUUUAAUGGAUUUGUGUAUUUUAUACUUAAAAUUUAAAAUUUUGUGUUGGAUUGAUGUUGAAAUUUUAAUUUUUCAUUUAUAUUAGUUAAAUUUAAAAUUGAAUAUGUUAUGUGGAAUUUGAGGUUAUUAUUGUAAAUUUAUAUAUUCAACAUUUGUGAUUUUAAAUAUAAAAAUUCCCCAAAAAAUCCGCCGGAUACCAAUGCGGGUUUGGUAAUUGUCAAAAUCCUUAGCGGGUGGGUUUUCUUAAAAAAAUUAAAACCCGCUAUGGGUUGCAGGUGGGUUUGGUAAUUUAAAUUUUGUGUGGGUUUGGCUUUGAUAAUGACAAACCCGCCGCGGGCGGUGCCAAUUGCCAUCCCUAACCGGCUCUAACAUAUUUUUUAAUAUUCUUGAUACCUUGCAUCGUCGUUCUAUGUUUUCUUGAAUGGUUUUCCUAUUAACGAUUCAACAUCAUUUUUCAGUCCUAGCCAAGUCUAAAAAAAUAAGAGUGGUAAUAGACUCCUAUUAUCUCAAAGUUUAUUCUAAAUAACAUGUCAUUCAUUAAAUUUCAUAAUUUCUUAUCAAAUUUAAGUAAAUUAAUUGUAAUAUCUCACCAAUCAAUUUGAUGAAUGUCAUAUCAUUUAUGAUAAAAAUUUUGAGAUGUGUAACACUACUCAAUAAAUAAAUUUGGUGUUCUUCAACUAUUAAUAAUUGUAGUUAUAACAAUUUUGUGCAAAUACCAACACUAACCCUACUCAUUAUUGCUGAAACUCGAGUGAUUACACACAAACCACAACUUAUUCAAUUUAAUUAAUAAGAAAACUACUUAAAUAUUCAAAAUUAAGAGUGAAAGCGAGUGACAUUGAGCAAGAAGUUGCCGUUAUUAAUGAGACUGAUUGACAAUUUUCAUCCUUCGGAAUUUUAUUGAUAACGUUACCAUAAAUUUUAGAAGUUGAUAAUUAAAGUUAUUACAAUUAAAUAAUUACAACUACUUCAUGUCUUAAUGAUUAAUGAGUUUGUACUUUUAUGCAAAGUCUCCUUUAUGCAACUCACCAUCGGGUGAAUCACGAAUGCGUUCCAAUUUGGUGGCGUGCUUGAUUAAUUUGUCCUUUAAUACAUGCCCAAAAGCUGUGUAUGCAGCUAGCUUUUACAAUUUCUAUCUUCUUCGUUCUUUAAUUUUAUUUCGUAGGAACUGCGUCUUGUACUUCAGUAAGAACAACUUCUUUAAUUUAAUUUAAAAAUAAAACUAUUUGAGUAUUUUCUUUUUUUCACAAAAAAAAAAGAAAAAAAUUUCAAUCAUCGGAGAGGCAACCCAAACAUCGUCUAUUUAGUCGCUAGUCAAUAAGUUAACCAAGGGCGGACCCAAAGCUUUAUAUUAUCUUGGGCUAAAUUAAAAAUUAAUAUUUUAUUAUGACCAUAAAAUUUCAUAAGUAGAAAGAAGUAUAUUAAAUAAAAUGGGACAUAAAGUACCUUAUUCUAUGAAUACAUACUCUAAAAAAUUAAUUAUAAAAAAUAAUUGAAAAUAAAGAUAAUUCAAAUAUAAAAGUAUUAUUCUUUAAUUAUGAAAUCUAACAUUGCAACCUAGGAUAACAUGUAAUUUUAUUUUUUUUUUAAUGAAGGAUAAGAUGUAAUUAAUCUAACUUUAGAUGGGAUUCUGUUGUUUGCACGGCAAGAGCAAAUCCAGGCCGAUCUAAUAAAGUGGUAGAACAUGCUGGUGAUGAUCAAGCCAAUUGUGUAGUGGCUCAUGAACUUAUUAAUUGUGUCUCUAGCUCUCGUACUGAGGUUUUUUGGGUCAUUAGUGAUAUUUAUGGGCUGAUGGAAUGAAUAGAGAUGUUCCUUGAGUUCACAAUGUCUCUUGAAUCCGCUCACAUGCUAGCAAAAAUUUAAAAUUGACCCAAGUCUUCUAAUCAGUGGCAGAACCAGGAUUUUAAUUGGAUGUUGAAAAAAAAAAAAUUAGCAUAGAUGUUUUAUGUCGUGAUUCAACCUCAAACAAAUACAAGUGCAAUAAAUAAUUUUUUUCUUUUAUAUUUUUGAAAAAAAAACAUGAUCAGAUGCAUGAUUAUCUACCUAAUUCAAGGAGCACAAAUACAUGUACAAUGAAGAUUUUUUUCUUUUAUAUUUAAAAAAAAAACAUGAUCAAAUACAUGAUUAUCUAUCUAAUUUAAGGAGCACAAAUCAAAACAAGCAUAAUCGUUUGGCAAAAAGAAAAUUUGUUGGUUAAUUAAAAUAAAAUCCUCAAUGAGUCUCAAAAUUGCCAAGAAUCUUUUGAGAGAAUGUAAAGCUCUUAAGAAAAAUAUUAUAGCUGUUGAUCCUGGAUCUAAGUAUAUCGGCCUUGCACUAGCCAACUUCGAGCAAAAUUAUGUGGAAAUGACACCAUUGGGGUAUAAUUGCUUUUCACAUUAUAGUAAAUACUAGUUAGAGAUAAAAUAUAAAUUAAUUAUUUGUGUAACACUAUUUUUUUUCAAUGUCGCAGACAUAUAACACAAACUACAAAAGCACAGGAUCUGGAGCAACUCAGAAAACGUGUAAGUUUAUAAUAUUAUAACUAUGAAUAAGUAGUAAAAGUGAUAUUCAAAAUAAAUAAACAAUAAUUUAACAUCUAUAUAAGGUCCAACUAUUUUGUAAUCCACGUUAGGUACCCCUUGUUUUUCAUUUAGUGAUAUAACCAUUAGACCAAACCAAAUAGUUGCAUAACGGUUUAGAUGCAUGUGUUUGCAUGGUUACUAACAUUGCCAUCCCUGAUGUUUGCUGAAAAAUCAAAAGAGUCAAAGGUUUCUAAAUCUUAACAUGUAUGUCCAGAUUGUUUCAAAAAUUUUUACACUUGAAUCCAUCGACCUAAUUUCACUAUUAGAAUGAGUGACAUUGUAUGUGCAGUAAUGUAAUCUCACGUACAAAUUCCAAAAUGCAUGAAAAAUUAACAUGAUUUAAUAACAAAAAUUUUAUAACAUAAUAUCUCUUUAAUAUAAAAUAAAUUAUUUGAAUAUGUCAAUAAAAAAAUAAUAUGUGACAAAAAUAUAUUAAUUUGUCAAUAAUAACAAACUAUGACCAAAGUGACUGUGUAGAUGCGUAAAUUAAAUGUUUUCAAUGAUAUUAUUAAUGAACAUGUCCCAUACUUCUUAAAUUAUAUGUAAUUAAAUUUUAUUAUUUGCAUAUUAAUAUCUUCAUCUAAAUGGAAACCGAACUUCGUCCCUUUGCUUUCUUUAUUCCUAAAUAACAAUUUAGCACUCCUGAACUUCAUCCUCCAUUUUUUUUUUAAUUUCUACUUGUCAUAAACUCAAACCUAAUAAAAUAAUUUUGGUUGAAACCAUCAUAUUUCAGAAACAGAUUUUUUUUCAUCAACAAUAAUCCUAACAUAGGUCCUUUGGUCUAAUUAGUGGUUUGAUUUGAAAAUGUUGUUAUUUUUUCAUAGAUGCUCCAAAUAUAAGAUUUAUAGCUCUUAAAAUUUUGUUAUUUAUAAACUUGUCAUUCAUAUUCCCUAGAAAUUCUUGAACUACACCUUUCCUAAGGAUUUUUCUUUUUUAGUUUAUACGAAUGGUUAUUUUUGUGCAAGAUGAAAGAUAGCAUGGAUAAAGAAUAAAUAGUUGUAAAUUACAGAGAUUUAUUCUUCGUCCAUAAAAUAAUUUAAUGAAUGAGUAUUUUUUAAUAUAAAUUAUUUAAUUAAAAGGUGGUACAAAGAAUAUUUUUAUGGUUUAAAUAUCCUCAACCUUCAGUUGUUUCUUUGUAAGGGUAAAAAUGACAAUUCCACAUUCUAUUAGAAUUUUCAUAAUGAUCAAUAAUGGACAAUGAUAUCAACAUAAAAAAUUAAAAUGAGCAGGACUUGAGUGUUAAAAUUUAGAAAUACUAUUUGGUUAAUUUAAUUUUAAAAAGAAACAUGAAUUGUAGCUCAAUUUGUUAAAAAAAAAAAUUACAAAGAAUAUAUUAAGCAAAUAAAUUUAUGGAUUGUAUUUCUCUAACGACUUUUAUAUGCAGAUAAAUGAUCAUAAUGUUGGUGGUCUGAUCAUUGGCGACCCGAUAGUUGGGGAGUACGAUGAGACCGGCGAAGGCUUGCGAAGGGUUAGUCUUAAAAAAAUUUAAUUUAGUUAUUAGUCUUUAAAAAUUUUAAUUUAGUUAACUCAUUUUUUAAAGCAUAUAUUCAUUUCAUUUUUUUCUUUGUUUUUUCAUUUUAUUAGGCCAAGCAUACCAAAACGUUCAUGAAAGAUUUUGAUAAAUAUAUCACCACAAGCUAUUGCUACCAGAACGAGACAAACUCUAGUGAAAGUUCUACGAGGACAUUGAAAGAAUUUGAGGUAGCUUGUCAAAAGCCCUUCUUAGAUGAAGUUUCGGCAAUGAGCAUAAUGGCACAAUGCUUCUGUGAUAAUUGUGGUGAGGUUUCUGAUAAUGUUGCCCUUGUGAGAGGACGGAGCAUUCAUUUUGGUAGUAAUGAAGAUUAAGAUAAAUAUUAUUAAAGGGAUUGAUGAUGUUUGUGGGUAUCGUCGCUACAAACCCUCACGAGACUAAACUCGUCCACUAGGGCUGCCUAGGGGUUUAAAGGCUUGUUGCAUACGCUAAAUGCAACCGUGAUUACCUGCGAAAGUGGUGUAAUAGGAUUUAAUUUAUUUCGUUUUUUACUUUUAAUUGAAAAACUUUGUAUUUGAAUUCACUAGUAUUCAAUUACUUACACUGAUAAAAUUAUUUAUUUUAACCAUCUCCCAAUACUAUAAUACCUGAGAUGAAAUUUUCUUAGAAAAUUAUUCAUGAUGCCAAAACAAGCCCUUCAAAGAACUAACAAGAUUAGAUUUGGUCACAAGGGCAAAUGGAUCUGGAAUUAGGAAAAAAUUCGACGCCAAAUAUUCCAAAUACAACAUAACUUAAAUUUACCAUAAAUUCUUCAUCUUGGCCCAUGUGUUGCAGCAGAACAAUCGUCGAAUAGUUUAGCUUAAAACCAUCGUAUGGGUGUUAAAACGACUAGUCGUUUAUCGUCCUCAACUUUUUCAUGCAUGCAUUGAUCCCUACUAAGCAGAGAAAACUAUAUCUGUCAUGCAUUAUUGCUUUAAUCAAUUCUUAGAGGAAUCAGAGAAAAUUAAGGCAUAAUCUGGAUGAAGGAAACCCUAUGGCUAAAGCAAGGGCCAUAUUUGUCGGCUUUACUUGGUACAGAGAUUGUUCCGUGAAUGUUGCUCUAAUUGUUGCUGUGAAAUUUACAUUAAGAAUAAAAAAAGGAAAAUCAUAUUUCUCAUUUCUCAUUCAAUACUAUUUUCCACCCCUCGUCUUCUUUAUUUCUUAAUUCCCUUUUUUUUUUAUUCUUCGUCUUCUUCUUGAUCGUUCUUCUUUAUUGUUAAUUUCUUUCUUUUUUAAUUUUUUAGUUUCAUCUCACGUACACAAUGGAUCGAACUUAGGAACAAGAAUUCACAGAUAAUUCUUCACAUUGAAGACUUCCUUUUACUGUUUACUAAUAAUUCUUUGGAGACAAGAAAUAAUUAUGGCUGAUCAUGUUAGUCAUAGCCGGUAAUGAUUUGAUUGAUUUCACGGUUUAUCAAUUGCUAAAAUUCAUACGCACCAAAUAGUGAGAUGUGCACGGACUAUACCUUUCAAGUCUAUUAUAACCGCAAGAUUUCUUCUACACACACGUUAAUCCUACAUAUACAACUUAUUAUCCCGUUAACAGUGCGUUCAUCCAUUUAUCACUUUGUAACGUCAGUUGGCAUCCACAAGCAAACAUCUUCUGAUAAUCUAAUCAGACAAUUCCAAGAGUUACUAUUUCAUAAAAGAGUAGGAUUAUUUAUGCUGUAAAAAUUACCUUGAUCGCUUCAUUAUUCUAUACACUAAUAUAUUAAUUUUAAAUAAUUAAGUUUUAGUCUUUUCAAAAAACAAAAAAAAAUAAUUAAGUUUUAAUGAGUACAUUUUAAAUCCACCGGAUUAGUUUCAAAAUUCCUUUACUCAUUAAAACCAUUGUUAAAAUUUAAAAGUUUAUAUUAUACUUUAUAAAUCCAUCUUAAUACCUAAUAUACCUUUGAAACUAAUUCAUGAUUUUCUGCAACUUUUUUCUUCCAUUCUUCUUCUUCUCCUUCUUCUUCUUCUAUCUAUCCAACCCGUAACCUGUUCAUACCCAAAAACCAAAUCCCUCAACUUAUUAAGUGGAAUUAAUUUUUUUGCCCAUUAUUGUCAUUAAACCGCUAUAAAAUAUAUAUAAUAUCAUGAAAAAAUAAAGUAAUAAUAAAAUUAUAGUUGUAAUCAAUAAUCAAUUAAACUACUAAACUAAAGCGCACAAUAUUUUUCAAUGGCAUGGCUUUCCUCUUUCUUAUAUAGUUCGAAUUCAAUGAAAUAGAUUUGAUUGUUUGAAUCUAGAAUAGCUUGACUAGUGAUAUAGUUUUCACCAAAUCCAAUAUUUAACAACUCAGUUUGAUCUGUUUUCAACUAGAGGAGUUGAAGAAAAAUUAAUAACUAUGAAACAAUUUUUUUUUCUGUAUACAUUAAGCAAAUUUAGAGAUGACUUCAAGAUGAAAUACGCAUUAUUAAGUCCAUAACAGUAUCUUAUGUUAGAGACAAUUUAAUAAUAAAUUUUUUUAAUACUGAGUCAAAUGAGAAUUUGGGUUCAAAUAAUCCUUCAUUAAGUUUUAUUUUGUACAUUAUUUAUGAUUUUAAAAAAACCUUACUUAAACUAUUUCAAUUUUUAUGUAAUAUGAUGUUAGAAGUAAAAAUUUCAAGAUUCAAAGAAAUUAUAUAAUAUUAACUUAUGACAAAUUAUCUUUAAUAGUUAUUUGCAUGAUGAGUAAUUUUGCAUUAAAAUGUUUUAUAUAAAAUUAAAGCAAUGGCGGACUCAAACAAUUAAAUUAUUGGGGGCUUAGAUAAAAAGGUUAUAAUUUAAUUUGGGGCGGUUAAUUAUUUUUUUACUGUUCACUUAAACGUGUUGAACGUCUCAAAAACUUAAAUUCUAUUAUUUUCUUUUAAAUUUAAAAAAAAUCAGGACAAUAAUUAUUAAUUUUAAAUGUUGGAACUCUUGUGGCACUACUGGAAAAAUGAGAAACAAUGAUACUGAGUUUCUGAUACUAAAUAAAAAAGUAUCAACAUUUGAUGACCUAAGCGGAUUUUCACGUCUUUUAUAUAUAAGUGUCGGUGAUCAUUGAUACUAUAGUAUCAUAACCAAACAUUGAUGCUAAUUGGAGAAGUAAUUUUAAUUUUAUUUUAAUUUUUUCAAUUUUCCUAAAUCUAAACGGCAUCGUUCUAAUUGCUAAAAAGUUAUCGAUAUAAAUUAAACACCUUGAAAUUAGCUUCUUCUUUUCCUCUCCUUCCAAAAUCGAUUCCCCCCUCUCUUUCUACUGAAACCCUAAAUCUAAAAUCAGGGCCAAGGAAAUAUUGAUUCAAGAAACGGGGCCGAGAGUGAGCCAGCUCUCGUACGGAGCGUGAGUCAGCUUCGGGAACCAGCUGGACGUGACGGAGGCGAAGUCGCUCUUGCAGUGCUCCCGCGACCACGGCAUCAACUUCUUCGACAAUGCCGAGGUCUACGCCAACGGCCGCGCGGAAGAGAUCAUGGGCCAGGCCAUUCGCGAGCUCGGGUGGAAGCGAUCCGACAUCGUCGUUUCCACCAAGAUCUUUUGGGGCGGCCAGGGCCCCAACGAUAAAGGCCUCUCCAGAAAACACAUCGUCAAGGGCACCAAAGCUUCCUUGAAACGCCUCGACAUGGACUACGUCGACGUUAUUUAUUGUCACAGGCCAGACACGUAGACACCGAUAGAGGAGACGGUGAGGGCGAUGAAUUAUAUUUACUUGAAAAAGAAAACGAUUAUUGUUCUUGGUAUUGGACUAGUGAAGGUGGUGAAUUUAAAAAAAAAAAUAUUGAUUCAAGAAACUCACAUCACCCGAUCCGCUUCACUUCAUCAAUUCUCUCCCCCCUCCCUCUCUUCACUUCAUCAAUUCUCUCCCCCCUCCCUCUCUUGCUCUCUCCCCCCUCUCUCUCUGCGUUUGAUUUAUGAAUGGCUUGAUUCCGAGUUGCAGGACGGUCAAUUUGAUCUGCGGUUUUUAUGACUGAAGUUUUUACUUGUUUGCUAAUAUUUAUAAUUCGUCCAUCCCGUUAUACUUGAAAGUUGGUGAUUCUAUUAAAUUUUAUAUCCAACCGGUAUCUUUUUAUUUAAAUCGGUAGGCCAGAAGCAAAUCAAUCUUUUUAUGCAUUGGCUGUAUUAGUAAAUCACAUGGAUAAAAUCACAGGGUUUAUAUUGUUACUUAUUUCUUUUCUGUUGGCAGGAAAAUUCCAAGGGAUUUGACAGAGGCAUCACUAUCUGGUGCAGGAUAAUCCAUAAUAUCAGCCCUUUCUAUGUUGUUUUUAUUUGGAAUGGUAGGUUGCCGCUUGCAUAGUUGUGCCUGUUUUGUCAGAUAUCAUGGGUGCAUUUUGCAUAUAAAUGUUAAAAUAUUAUGGUAUUUAAUAUAUUAUUUAUUUGACAUUCAAAUUUAAUAAGGAUACAAAUGUAAAAAUACAUAUUUUCGGUUUUUUAAGUUGAAAAAAAAAACUUAAUAUUUAUUUUUUGAGAUUCAGACGAAAAAACAAAUAUAUUAUUCAGAUUCAGACAUUCAAAUCUAUUCAGAAUUCAGACUAAUUCAAAUCUAUUUAGAUUUCAGACAAAAAAACAAACGCCUCCUAAGUCUCUAAAACCACUAAAUUAACAGCACUCUCUCAACAAAAUUACAAGUAUUUAUCAUUUAGAAGUUGUUUUUAAAUUCUUUUUAUUUAGUUCUUUGAAAAAGAGUUUGGGGCAAAGCCCUCCUUAAAUUUUUGUUGGGUACGCCCAUAUUGUAUUAAUUUGUCAAUAAUAACAAUGUAUAUGCCUAAAUUAAAAUUUUUCAGUAAUAUUAUUCCUGAACAUGUCUCGUAAUUAUUAAAUUAUAUGUAAUUAAAUAUUUUUUAUUUUAAUAUUAAUAUCUUCAUCUAAACUGAAAUUGAACUUCAUCUCUCUACUUUCUUUGUUCCUAAUUAUCAGUUUAGCGCCCAUGAACUUCGUCCUUCAUUUUUUUUUAAUUUCUUCUUCAUAAACUUGAACCUAAUAAAAUCAUUUUAAUUGAAACCAUCAUAUUUCAAAAAUAAUUUUUUUUCAUUAACAAUAAUCCUAUCAUUAAUUCUUUGGACUAAGUAGUGGUGUAAUUUGAAAAUAGGAUUUCUCUAUGAUGCUGUAUGGAUUUUUAUAGUGUUGAUAGUGGGAUUAAUGUGGACCCUUAGAUGUAAAAGUUUUAAGUUGAAUCAUUCAUUUAAUAUAAUACAUAAUUAGAUAAUUAAUUAAAAUAUAACAGGUAACUUAUAGGUUGCGGGUAAACAUUAAUUUGUUAAUUUUAAAUUAAUAUCAAUUUAGAAAAAAGUCACUCACCCCCCUAAGGUUUGCUUAAAUAAUCAUACAGAUCCCUUUAGUUUCAUAAAUGGUCACACAGACCUUCUUAGUUUCAUAAAUGACUAUUAUACCUUUUGAUUAAAAUAAUCUUUUUUUAAUGAUGGAUUAAAAUAAUCUAAAUAAAUAUAAAUAUAGUAAUAAGAGAAAAAUAAUAAAUAAAUAUCAUAUGAUACAAAUAAAAUGUUAUAAUAAGUAUAGUUGAUAAUAUAACGUGUACAAUGAAAAUUUUGCUAAUAUUAAGUUAUUAUUAGUCUAUCUUGACAGAUUAACUAAAAUCUAUUAAUUAAAAAAUUGAUUUUAAGAUUGAUAUUAAUGUAGACAUAAUUGUAAAAAAUAAUAUAAAUUUUAUAAAUCAUUGUGAAAUUAUUGUGAAUGAUAGGUAUAAUUAUUUAAUUUUAGUAGUAUGUCAAAUAGAUUUUAAUAUUAGUAAAAAGAAUAUGAAAAAUAAAUAAUGUUAAAAAAAUUUUGUUGAUAUUGAAAAUAUUUUACACUUAUUUAACAUAUUAUAUUUUUUUAAUUUAAGGAGUUAUGUAUGACCAUUUAAGUAAAAUUUAGAGGUGUGGGUAGUCGCUUCCCUAUUAAUUUUAUAGCCUAUUUAAAGUGCUAUACCAUUCUAUAUCAUACAUCACACUUAAGAUGUUGAUUUUAUUGAAGUGUUAUGUUAUUAAAAAUUAAAGGGAAAUUAUCAUUCGUAUACCCUAUAGAUGCUCUGUUAUCAAAAAUACUACAACACUUUGAGGGUGUAUCAAUCGUCCACCCUAAGUUGAUAAAAUGUAUAUGCCGUCCACCAAAUCGUUACUUGUCGUUUAAAUAGGAUAACGCCAGAGGGGUAAUUUGGUCUUUUUAUAUGAUACAAGUGAUAAUUUAAGGGUAACAAAUGAUAAUAAAAGAAUUUAAGGAUGUACAAGUGAUACUUUUUAAGGGUAAAAUCGUCAAUUCGCUAUAAUUCUGUUAACUUUCAAACAACAGCUAACGGUUUGGUGGUCGACAGAUAGCUUUUGUCAAUUUAGGGUGGACGAUUGAUACACCCUCAAAGUGUUGUAGUAUUUUUUAUAACAUAGCAUCUAUAGGGUAUACGAAUGAUAAUAUCCCAAAAUUAAACUUUGCAUUUAUAAUGUACUACAACUUUAAUGUAAAAUGUAAUAAAAAAUAUAAAGACAUUUUUUAGUAGUCAAUUUUAGCUUUCUUUUACAAAAUAGUAUUAUAAAAGAAAAUUAGUAAAAUGUAAUAAAAAUGGCAUGAGUAAAGGUUAGUAGAGGUGAUUUUCCUUGUAGUUUUAAAACAUAUGAAGUAAUGGACACACACACAUAUUCAGUACUUCUAUUUACCCCUAUUUAUUAAUAAGUGGGAAAUUAAAGUCGUAAUUACCAUAAUGUAUUAUGAAUUGAUAUGUAAAAUAUAAAUACUAAUAAAAGCUAAUUUGUAGACUAAUAAAGUAAAUCAUAUUUUAUGGGCACUUGAUACAUUAAUCUAAGGUCAAAUGAGAUAUAUCACAUGAUAUUUCAAACUGUAGUCCAAUUUUCAACAUUUGCAUAUGGUUUUAUAACCUAGUAAACCAAUAAAAUAUACCAUGAGAAAUCAAAGGCUAUUGUAUAUAUUGCACCAUUGGAUAUAUAUAAAUAUAUAUAUAGACACACACAUAUAACUUCCGUUAAUCUUCCAUGGCCAUGCAUUAGAAUAAAAUAAUCUAACCGUACAGCUAUAUCUGAUUGAUAGAUUUUGAAAUUAGUUUGAUUACAUGAUAAUCGAAUUAUCUUAUAACAUUAAGGAUAUGAAUUAAGUAUCAUUUUAUCAAUUUUGAGUAUCGUAUUGAGUUUUCAAAUUAAUUAAAUGUUGAAACUCUUUCAUGUUUUGCCUGACAUUACUAUUUAAUAAAAUUACGAAAAGCCAAUAUGAAUUUUGUAGGAUACAUAGUAAAAUAAACUUUAAAAUGUGAUUAAGUAUUCCCAUGAAUUUUGUGUAAUUAAACAAAAUAUGUUAUUUUAGUGAAAUUGUUAGAAUAUUUAAAAUUGUUGGGGUGGUCACUAAAAUUUCUCGGACUUGAGCAAACUACACGAUCCCACACGAUUUAUUUUGAAAAAUACAACUUGUUAACCGCUGACUGUUGGUAGAAUAAGUUCCUAUAAACAAAAAACAAUUCAAACUCAUAUUUACAAGUAGCAAACAAUAUCUCAUCAAGGAACAAAUUUGAGUGGAGUUUUUGGUCAAUCAAUCUAAAUAAAUUUGAGUAGAGUUUUUUGUCAAUUAAUCAAGUUUUUGGGUUUUCAAAAAAUUUAUGUUCAAGGUAAAUAUGGGAGCUAUCAUUACAAGAAAGCUAUGGAUAUUGAUCAACAAAGUUAGUAUUGUAUAUGUUCUUUGUAAUUUGAUAUUUAGAACUGUUAUGAUUAUUUUGUUGUUGAGUAGAGAGAUGGUUAUGUGGAGAUUUCAGCUAUGUAACCAUGUAAUGACCAAUGCUUUAAAAUCAAACACUUGUUCGAUAAUUUGACAAACAAAAAAAAAUUAAAAAACAUGUAGAAAUGUAAGAAAAAUGAGCAUGUAAUGUCUGGCAGUCGUGCUUAUAGGGGAAAGAGGCUGAAACAAAGAACUAAUACAUUUUUUAAGUUGGUUGCUUCAGUGAUUCUGAGCAGUCAGCAUUCUUUAAGCCAUAUUUUCAUGUAGAAAACUUCAAAUAGAAAACCAUAAAAUUAUUUGAACUCCUGAGGAAUAAAUAUUUCUAGACAUGUAUAGUUUGUAAUUUUAUUCCUUAUUAAUUGAUAUCAGUUAAUGCAGAAACUUCGGGUCUUGUGUAGUUUCAAGAGAGUUAUGACCUUUGUGCACUAAAUCGUGAAUAUCUUUAAGAAGAGAAGUCCAAAUUUGAUUUUAUAAAUUUCGUCCAUAACUAGACACAUUUAUCUAUCAAAGAAUUUAUAUUAUGCAAUCUCAUAUAUUAUAGAUCAAUACAGUUAAAUAAUGAAAUUUGGCUUAUAAUCAUAGACUUGGUUGCUUCAGUGAUUUUGAGCAGUCAGCAUUCUUUAAGCCAUAUCUUCAUGUAGAAAUCUUCAAAUAGAUAACUAUAAAAUUAUUUGAACUCUUGAGGAAUAAUAUUUCUAGAAAUAAAUAGUUUGUAAUUUUAUUCCUUGUUAAUUGAUAUCAGUUAAUUCAGAAACUUCGGGUCUUGUGUAGUUUCAAGGCAGUUGUGGAAGAUUUGGUUCUCUUUCAGUUUCCUAUAUGCAAAUAGGUUUUUCAAUGAUAAAUUUUCACCACAUGCGUCUUCAAUAUUGUCCUUAAUCGCUGCGAUCUUCACCCCAAACUCAUCUCCCUUGCCCAUAAAAUUUUGACCACUUGAUUCAUUUUUACUAGUUUGAACAUCUUUACUAGAAGAGUUCAUCUUUUCCUUCCAUGGGUGUGAUUGCAUAUGAGUUAUAUUAUGUUCAAGUGCUUCAACUACACCAAUGCAUAAGUAUCUAAACUGUUCCUCUUCAGCUCACCAAGUUCAUACAUGACAGCGGCAAGAUUAAAAGUCAUCCCAUCAAUUUUUUCAUUAAGCUUUGUCAAUUCCUUCUCAUGGUUGCAAUUUUGAAAGUUUGCUUCACCCUCUCCGUUUGUUUUUAUGCUUUUAUGGAGCCCUCCAUCAUCUUUUCUUUCCAUCUGCAUUUUAAUGUUAAUAUUUAGUCAAUCGUGUGACAUCAAGUAUAUCUAUAAAAUAAUGAUACUAACAAAUAAAGUAUCAAUAAACAAAAAUGAAGAUUUUAACAUCUAUAUUUUCAUAUGGGGCUUGCCUUUAAUUUUUAGAAUUUAAAGACCGACAUUUAAAUUUCAAUUGUAAGAUAUUAGUAGUCAGCUGAAUUCCCUCCUCAAAGUAAUAUAAAUUCGUAAAGUGAAACGGAAAAAUCUCUUGGCGAUAUUAUACUCCAGCAGAUGCAAAGUAGACAACUAGACUGGCCAAAUUCUGAAUGUUGAGACUUUUAAAGAUUGAAUUUUCCCUUGUUGCCUUCAUUGAGAAAAUGACAGAGAAUUAAAAGAGAGAAAGUUCAUUCCCACCGCAUAAAGCCUAAGAGAGACAAAAUUAUUAAUCUAACUCUCGAAUCUUCAGGUCUUCACAAAAGAACAUAUAACAAACUUGAAAAAAAAAUAAUUGCCCCUUCAGAUCCAAAAAUUAUUUUGCUUCUAAUAUUGUUUUGCAUGCUUUAGCUGUAGUAAUUAGUUACUUUCCGUGUAAUCAACAAAACCCCAAAAAAACGACACUAGAAACUGUGGUUUUGAUCAUAUGUGAUAAAGUGAAUUGAACUUCCCAGCAAGGGCUUCAAUCUAAAAAGCAAGUAAGCCAUUCUUUGUGAUUAAUUAAUUACAACUUAAUUACUUAAUUAUUUCUCUUGCAUACGUAAUUAGUUGACUUUUUUUUGGCUGUAAUAAAUACCACGAAUUGUAAGAAUCAUUAACCUUCUUAUAGGCCUCAUAGAUGAUCGUAUAGAUAAUGCUAAUAAACUUUCUUCAAAUUAAGUUCAUUAAUUUCAUAUUUCUGUCCUAUAUUUAUGCUUCCAAAUGGAUAAUUUUCUUGAGAAUUUUCAACAUACUCAGUUAUUUCUUGUCCAGUGUUAUUCUAACAACUAAGAAAAAUAAGAAAAUCUUUUAAAUAAGAUAAAUGAAUUUGUCAAAACUAAUCUAUCAUCAAACAGAUACGUAUCCACUUGCCUAGUUGCCUUGCAGAUUAAUUAAUCCUGCAUUCUUUUUAGCACUGUAAUAGCAUAAUCACAUAAUCUACCACCAAAUAUGCUAUUUAUGCUUAAAGUUAAUAUCAAUUAACAACAAGGUUGUUAUGAUCACUCUCUAGUGACAAUAAAACACCAAAAAUGCAGGUGUCAUUAUAUAUCUAAAAAUAGACUAUAUAUCUAACAAUAAGCUAAUAGUAAACUCUUUCCUAAAUUAAAAAAGCUAGAAAGUUGAAUAAUUAAAUGGAUUCGCAACUGGCACAAAUAUGGAACUCUAAAUAUUUUGUUUAUCUAUACAUCAUGAAACUUGAAAAAAUCCAAACUAAAGUAAAAUUUCAACAUGGCCGACCAACUAACUUUUCAUUACCAAAACAUAUAUAAAAGAAAACAUCAUGAAAGAGUUUGCAAAGCCUCACAUGACAUUAAGAUUAUGUAUCUUAUUCUCAGUCACUACUAGAAAAAUGGGCUUUACUGACACCAAUUCAGUGUCAAUAAUAACUUUUACUGACACUUGUUAAUUGUGUCAGUAAUGCUCCAGCCAGAACACACUGACACUAAUUUUUGGUGUCAGUGAUUUUCGUGUCAGUAAUUCGUGUUACUCUAGUAUCACUAAAAUAAUGACACUAUGGCGUUAGUACUUAAUGAUACUAUUUACAUGUCAGUAAUUCAUGUCACUAUAGUAUCACUAAAAUAAUGAUACGAAGUGUAAACAUUUAAUGAUACUAUUUACAUAUCAAUAUUUAAAAUUGAGUCAGUAUUUAGUGAUGUUAUGCUGCUUUUGGUUAGUAAUAUAUUUUUAUUUUAAUUAUAUUUUUCCAAUUUGUUUUACAAUUAAAAAAAUAAAUAUAUUAAAUAUAUCAAAUCUCCCAACACAAUUCACAUAAUAAAUAUCCCAAAUACAUCACUUAAAUUAACAUAAUUCAACUACAUCAUUGUUUGGAAAAAAAAAAGAACAUAAGUAUCAAAUUAAGUUUUCGACAAGUUUUAAGCAACAAAGUACUAAAUUCAGUUUCAACGAACAUUAACCAACAAUAAUAAGCACAAGAAUGUACUGAAUAUCCAUACGUGGCUUCAUUUUUUUCCCCCACCUACAAGCAAAUAAAAUCAAUUAGAACACCACAAAAAAUAAGUCUUAGAGAUUUGGAAGCAAAAGUGGUCCUAAAUUACUCAUAUAUUACCUCGCGAUUGUAGGCUUUAAUUAACUUGGCAACAUAUGUAGCCUAUUGAUCACGAAGUUGCGAGAGCUCUUUCAUCGCGUACUCAUCAAUUCCCUUGAACUUUAAUUUCAAAACAAGAAGUUAUUCGCCAAAAGUUAAAUUGUAAACUUCUUAAUUAUCAUUCAUUUAAAUAUAUCCAUGUGAUAACAAUUCAAAACACUUUAUGCACUUGAAAUGAACUCCAAUAAUGUUACUCUUCUAUCCAAAAUUAUACAGGCAAACACUAAAUGUCUUGAAAACCAAGCUAAUAAGAAAAAAUUUUCAACAGUGUUGAUCUACAUUAUUAUAUAGUAAUGUUUGAAGCCGAAGCAACUUGUGAACAUCAACACUAACCACUUUAAUGCAAAUGUGGAUGUAGAUAUAAAACCUCAAUAGGUAUAUCUUCAUCAAAGUGAAGUAAAAGCAACAAUAUUGUAACAUGUUGCCACUAAUAACAACUUUGCAACAAACCCAUUAAAACGUAAGCGAGUGAUGAGCAGUAGAAAGUGGACAGGUAAAAGUAGAUAUUUAGAAGGUUUAUAAUUAAGCACUUAUAAUAGUAAUUUGAACAAAAUCCUAAAAUUGAAACAAAAGAAGCUUUGAAAGCAAAACAGAAAAUGAACAAGCAAGAAGGGCCCUAAUGGUUUUUUGUUAAGUCAAGCUAAUUCAUAAGUGAAGUAACUAAUAAAAAUUAAGACUUAAAAUAAAAUAAAAAGUCUUCAUAUUGUUUAAUCAUCAUAUAAAUUUUUUUUAAUGUUUAAAGUAUAUGUAUAGAGAGAGAACACUCAAUUUUACAACCUACUUAUGAAUUAAAAUUUAUCCACAAAAAAGCAAAAAAAACAAAGCUAAAGUUUUAAUUAAAAAUAUAGUGGUACUAUCUGUAAACUAUGCUGCCUGAGUGGAGUUAGAGACUGCAAAUACUAGUUUUACUAAUAAAGAUUACCUUCAGUUCCAUCUAAUUCUAUUAUUCUACUAAAACCAAUGCUACCAAAUACAAGCCAACCUUCAACUAUAAUCUUGUAAUGUGCCAUUUCACAUUAUAAAGUCUCUAAUUCUCUUAUUACAUGGCAAAAACUAUAACAAAAAUUAUGAAAUUACAAUGGUCCCAAUCAAGUUAUUUCUAAACAACUCAUUUUGCCAAUUGUAACUCGGCAUUAAACAAAAUAAAGAGCCCUAUAAAAAGACAAAAGGCCAAUCAAGGGCAUGUUAUUUUACUUUUAGUUUUCCUUUUUCCACAAUAUUUCAAAAGCUUAACGUCUCAUACAACUUUCUUUAAAUUUGUAGGAACUCAUAGAGGUGAUAAGAUGUUUAUGUGAAUUUACCCAGUGCAGCUUGAUGAUUCAUUUAUGUUCACAAUCAUACUUGGAUAUUCUGCAAUUGAUGAUCUGCACAUGAGGCCAUAGACAAGUUGUUGUUUGCUUCCACGUCCUCAGCAAUAAUACUUGGGUUAUGAACCUACAAAAGAUACAAACAAUCAAAUAUUUGAUAUCAGCUCUGAUGUAGCCAUAGUACUACAAAAACAAUCGUUAAUUACAUAAAAGAUUUCUAAAUCAAACAGAGGCACUCUAGCAUUAUAAAUAUAAAUUAUAAAAUAAAUCUUUUAAAGUCAUUUAACAACUGAAUUACUAAUUUACAAAUGCAUUUAAGUUAAUGGAAUCUCACAAUUUUUAUAUUUCCUUCUUCCACAACACUUCAAAAGUUUGUCGACUCAUGCAACUUGUAAUAAGACAAAAAGAAAGCAAACUAAAAAGUAAAAGAGAGACAAUUGAUGCAAAGUUGUAUUUCAACAUAUAAAAGAAUGUACAAAAGAGGGGUUAUAUAGUUGGUGAGCCCCUACAUUAAAUGAAUGCCUUGAUUCACAUAAUAGCCUAGGAUCAAGUAGCAUAUGGCUAGAAUUAGCCAAGGGACAACAAAUUAAUCCCUAGACUCGAGCAUAAUUGCCAUGCCGUCAUAUAUUCUAACACAAGUUUAUUUAAAUUUGUAGGAGGUAAUAGAGGUGAUGAGCUGCUUACAUGAAUUCCCCCAAUGCAGCUUGAUAUUUACAAUUAUAUUCACAAUCAUACCUGGGAAUUUCACAGUUGGUGAUCAGCAGCUGGGGCAAUAGGAGAGGCAAAGCCUGAUGAAUUGGAAACUCCCCCAGCAUAUAUAAUAUUAAAUGCAGCAACAAUUAUAGCAAAGACUAGUGAGAAAACAUAUGCAUCAAAGCUGUUUUUGACACCCAAUUCUGCCAGAAUAAAAUUAGCAAGUGUUGAUGCGAGAUUCCGGUACUCCUCGUUCUACGACCAGGAUCUCUGCUCGAUCAACUUCAUCACGACCAGGGGGUCUCCUCGCGGAGCUUCUUCUCCAGAGGUUCCUGCGCACACAGACAAGUCAGGGUACGCCGGUUGUUUUCUUGGCGCAAACCCUCCGACGCUCAAGUCAGAUAUGAAGGCUCGGGGAACGCUGACCACCAAUGUUAUCGCUGUUGAGUUGUUUUCUCCCUUUUUAGAAUCAAAAUUGCUUCUUGUUUUGAUCUAAAAAAUGCCAACCUUUUUACCUUCGUUGGUUACCUUUUUAUAGGCUUCCCCUGAAUUCCAGUCUUCCGCUUUUUUCUAGACAGCAUGGGGCUCUCACUGCUGCGUUAUGGGCAAACGCGGAAUCUUGCGUGUUACGCCACGGUUCUGGGGAAAGCGUGGCUGUCGUGGUUCCGUGAGAUCUUGCGUGUUACGCCACGGUUCUGGGGAAAGCGUGGCUGUCGUGGUUCUGUGAGAUCUUGCGUGUUACGCCACGGUUCUGGGAAAAGCGUGGCUGUCGUACUUAGAUUCUCGGGCUGGGGAGCCCGUCUUGCCCACUGUCGUCGACUGGGUCUCCUCGCCUCUCGACCUCUAGCCGGAAUGGCCUUAUGCCUCUUACAGGAAAUUGGCCUCGUGGAUGACGUGCUCGUGGGUGAGCAGGAUAUUUCUGUUCCUGUUCCCCCGCGCACCAGGUUUUUACGGGACAUACCGGUUCGCAGAACUCUGCCAUCAGAUAUCCGCUCACCAAGCCUGGUCUCGUCGACGUAUUUCUCCUAAACAGCAAGCGUAACAAUUAAUUGAACCACAGAGAAAGAAAUUUCCGCAGUCCUAACUAGUUGCAUCUGCCUAUGUACUCUAGUUGCAGUUCUGGUUCUUCCCAUGAUAUAAGUAUACAUACUCGUAGCAAAACCAAAUGCUGACAAUAGAAAUACAGCAAGAAGAAUUAUUCUCUUCAUUUUUCCCAGGGUAGAUUGCCAAUUUUCCAGUUACUGUUAUCUCCUACCAUUUUUGUAAUCUCUAAUAAUUCCCCUAACAACAUAAGUUUAUAAUAUUACACUUAUUUUCAAAUACACUUUUAUUCAUAUUUAUUAUAGAUUAAAUAAAUCACAUGAAUCAUUUGAUUUUUAUUGCCUAAUCGAAUUGAACCGAACUGCCAUAAUACAGCUCAAUUAGAUUCAGUUUGGAUUGAACCAAGUCAAAUGCUCACCCCAAUCAAGAACAUGUUAUUUUAAUGUUCGUUUUCAUUUCAACUUGGGAAGAACCAAAUAGAAAAAGGGAAACAACCAUUUGACUCUCCUCCCUAUUUGAAAUUUUAAUGGCGUGGGAUUCUCUUUGAAAUUUCCAUUGAAAACUAAAAUCAAACAUAAUUUUCAUACCCGACUUCAUAGCAAUCCAAAUCUAGUUGAAUUAAGUACACAUAGACAAAUGUCCCGGCUUCAGGUAUUUCUUCUAUUUUCUCGGUAUUGGUUAGUUGUAGAUAAUUUCCUUUCUCUCUGCUUUGCUCGAGGUUGUAGUUGGCGGUGGUGUUUUGGUUAGAACUUAGGAUAUGUCGAAGGGUAAGGAGAAAGUCGUUGAGGUUGGUGACGACGAACUAGGUUUCUUGCCUAGUCUGCUCGCUGAUUCUGCUUUUGACCCCGGGGCCCCCUUAGAACCCACUAGGACUAGUGUCGGGACUAGCGCUAGGAGGACGUCCCCCCACACGACCUCCACGAGCAGAAGUAGUGGUGAAGAGGGAUCUUCUGGCUCGGAAGACACCCUAAGUGAGGAUCAAGGAGGUGAUUCUGGGGAGGGAUCUUCACCAGGAGCGCCGCGACCAGAGAGGCGCAGUACAGUAGGAGGUAGAGCCUCGUUGCGGGAUUAUGCUAUUGAUUACAUGACCUGCACGACCACAUUCAACGAGCUGGAUGACCUCCGGCUCAGGUAUAGCAUUCCUGGUGAAAUUCCUCUCAAGAUCCCAGGGAAGAAGGAUACACCUAGCCGGCCUCCUAGGGGAUAUGUUACCCUGUUUCUGGAAAGCUUUAAGUUUGGGCUAAGGUGUCCCUUACAACCCUACUUUGCCCGUAUACUUAACGGGCUGAAUCUGGCUCCUGGUCAGCUGAACCCCAAUGGGUGGAGAGUGCUCUCUGGUCUGUUCAUAUUGUGGGACAGAUGUUGCCAGAGCGAGCCCACGAUUGAUGAGGUGAAGCACCUAUACCAGCUAAAGAGCAGCCCUAAAGAUGCCGGUUGGUACUACUUCCAAUCUAGUACCAAGAGCAGGAAACCCAUAACUGAUCUUCCAACUGGUGGUGGUGGGACUUGGAAGAGGAAAUUCUUUUUUGCUGGGGGUCCUUGGGGUCAAGUUGCACGGAUUGACGGGAACGAUUAUCGCGUCCCACCCCGUUUCGUGGUCCCAGGUUGUCUGCUCGCUUUAGAUGUCUUGUAUCCAUAAUUGUUCUUGCUUUAUUGGCUUGUCUCUAACCAAGUGUCCAUUUCCAAUCUGCUCGUUUGUGUUGUAGUUUCCUGGGGUGUUCAUUUCCCGCUCCAACUUGGUCAGCUUAAAAGGGUCGAGGCUGUACUGGCCAAUUCCUGCUCGAGCCGAGAACUGCUAUCUACAUACAACUUCCUCGAGUCUCGGUUGAUACUUCCUGGCCAUAAGAUGGAGGACGCAGUGAUUGGAGCUUUGACCAGGAAACGCUCUCGGCCCCCAACAACCAACAGGGACCAGAACAAAGAUGCUCCUGCUGCGAAGCGAAAGAACAUCGUGCAGCAGGUUCCUCCCUUGCAGGCUCUUCCUCUUGCUCUCGCUAAAGUCGGGGAGUCUAGUGGAGCAGCCACUGAUCCUGCUUCCUCUUCUCCACCUGUUGUGCCUCGGUCUCGCUUACCCGACAGCCGACCAGAACACUUGGUUCCCUAUCUCAAUGAGUUGUCUAAACUCGUGAGCAAGAAGGACCUGGAGGACUUUGAUGGUUGUACCCUGGGCGAGCUGGUGGGAGCCAUGCAGUAUAGCGCUUUCCAUCUCAGCUGCAUAACCACCUACUAUAAGGCCAAGGUUGGCCGUUACGACAGGAAGAUGAAGGAGGACAUUUAAUCGGCGACGACCAGAGCUGACGUUGCCGAGAAGAAAGCGGGGGAGCUAAACGUUGAGAACCUCAAGCUGAUAGAGCAAGAGUCUCUUGCUCAAGCAAAAGCCAUUACCCUCGAGGAGGAGUUGACCAAGGUUAAGGAGGAUCUGCAAAGGCAGAGGGCUAUAUAUGAGGCUCAGCUCGAAUCUCUCCGCGAUUCCCACCGAGCUCAGGUCGAGAACUUGGAGAGGGAGGCCGACAACCAGUACGACCAGGGACUUCGGCAUUCCUAUCGUUGCAUCAUGGCCGUCCUCGGGAAGCAACACCCCGAUCUGAAGAUGGAUGACCUUGCAGCUGGUGUUGCUCAACAUAUGGACGAGGAGGCGACCAAGGAAGACGCCGAAGGGGUAGAGCCGAUCGUGAUUGAGGAGGAAAACUCUCCUCCUCGUGCAGUCCCUGCCGAUGUUGGCGAGGCGAGCACCCCCCGAAUGCAACUGGUGAUACCCCUCCUGCACCUGAGGAGGUCCAGCCAACCGACGCUGCUGGGCUUACUGAUCCACGAUCUUCUUGAUAUAUUUCUUGUAUUGUAAUGAACAAUGUUUGUGAAGAUUAUCUGCUUUGUUAAUUAUUAACAAAUUAAUAAAGAUGUUUUUGAUUACUCUCUUGUGUUAUAAUUACGAGAGUCUGCUCGUCUUCGUCUGGUCGAGCUGGCUACGGCUUGGUAUAUGGUUUUGCCACCUGCCUUAGAAAAUUUUUCGAUGUUUGGGAUUCUGCUCGCCUCCGCGCGGUCGAGCAGAUCCUGCCAUGUUUGGUUUCUGUCUUGCCAUAAACAGGCUGUGAGACUUGACGAGCCUUUGCACGUCUUAAAAUUUUUUUUUUUUUUUUGUGCUUCGGAGUCUGCUCGCCUUUACGCGGUCGAGCAGAUCCUGGCAUGCUUGGCUUCUAUCUCGCCGUAAACAGGCUUCGAGACUUGGGGAGCCUUUGCAUGCCUUAGUGUCUCGUUCGACGUUUGGGGAUUCUGCUCGCCUUCGCGUGGUCGAGCAGAUCCUGGCAUGCUUGGCUUCUGUCUCGCCAUAAAAUAGGCUUUGAGACUUGGGGAGCCUUUGCAUGCCUUAGUGUCUCGUUCGACGUUUGGGGAUUCUGCUCGCCUUCGCGUGGUCGAGCAGAUCCUGGCAUGCUUGGCUUCUGUCUCGCCAUAAAACAGGCUUCGAGACUUGGUGAGCCUUUGCAUGCCUUGGGUAAUUUCUUCAAAGCUUGGGAUUCUGCUAGCCUUCUCGUGGCCGAGCAGAUCCUGGCAUGCUUGGCUUCUGCCUCGCCAUAAGACAGGCUUUAAGACUUGAUGAGCCUUUGCAUGCCUUGGGUUAUCUCUUCAAAGCUUGGGAUUCUGCUAGCCUUCUCGUGGCCGAGCAGAUCCUGGCAUGCUUGGCUUCUAUCUCGCCGUAAGACAGGCUUUGAGACUUUGUCGAGCCUUUGCAUGCCUUGGAUUCUUCAAGGAUUGGGAUUCUGCUCGCCUUCACGUGGCCGAGCAGGUCCUGGCAUGCUUGGUUUCUGUCUCGCCAUAAGACAGGCUUUGAGACUUGAUGAGCCUUUGUAUGCCUUGGGUUAUCUCUUCAAAGCUUGGGAUUCUGCUAGCCUUCUCGUGGCCGAGCAGAUCCUGGCAUGCUUGGCUUCUGCCUCGCCAUAAGACAGGCUUUGAGACUUGAUGAGCCUUUGCAUGCCUUGGUGUCUCGUUCGACGUUUGGGGAUUCUGCUCGCCUUCGCGUGGUCGAGCAGAUCCUGGCAUGCUUGGCUUCUGUCUCGCCAUAAAACAGGCUUUGAGACUUGGGGAGCCUUUGCAUGCCUUGGAUUCUUCAAGGAUUGGGAUUCUGCUCGCCUUCACGUGGCCGAGCAGGUCCUGGCAUGCUUGACUUCUGUCUCGCCAUAAGACAGGCUUUGAGACUUGAUGAGCCUUUGCAUGCCUUGGGUUAUCUCUUCAAAGCUUGGGAUUCUGCUAGCCUUCUCGUGGCCGAGCAGAUCCUGGCAUGCUUGGCUUCUGUCUCGCCAUAAGACAGGCUUUGAGACUUGAUGAGCCUUUGCAUGCCUUGGGUUAUUUCUUCGGUUUCAAGCGAAAGAAAUUCCUCGACGUUCUAUUAAUGGCCGGAUUCGGCUUACACGAAAUUGUUUGGACAUAAAGCGUGAGAGAUAAACGACAAUGAACAUGAGUAAAAAUAGCUUUCAAAUGUCAACAAGUCUCACUGGAAGUAUUUUCGGAGGUGUGCUGCGUUCCAUGGGCGUUUCACCUCGUGGCCGUCCGUGCGAACUAGCUUGUAAGCUCCGGGUCCCGCUAUCUGCUUGACUCUAUAUGGCCCUUCCCAAUUCGGUCCCAGCACUCCUUGAGUCGGAUCUUUGGUGCUCUGAUUCACUCUCCUCAGUACCCAGUCUCCGACCCCGAAUUGCCGUAUGUUCACCUUCUGGUUAUAAUAUCGAGCAACCCUCUGUUGGUAAAUGACUGAUCGCUCGGCUGCUUGCUCCCUCCUUUCCGUUAGCAGAUCAAGAUUCAAACACAUCUGCUCGUCGUUCUCCUGCUCAUUGAAAUGACCUGUCCGGUGUGUGGUCGUCCCUAUCUCAGCCGGCACGACCGCUUCAUGUCCGAAAGCCAAAGCGAACGGCGUCUCCCCAGUUGCGAUUUUGUGGGUUGUUCUGUAUGCCCAUAGCACACCUGACAGCUCGUCAACCCACGCACCCUUUUUUGCUCCAAGCCUGGUUUUCAAAAGUCUCUUGAUGGUCUUGUUGGCCGCUUCUACUUGUCCAUUCGAUUGAGGGUGAGCAGGCGAGCAAUAUUUCAGCUCUAUCCCGAGGUUCUGGCAGAACUCCCUGAAACUGUGAUUAUCGAACUGCCUGCCAUUAUCCGUUACCAAGGCAUAAGGGAUCCCGUAUCGACAGACCAGGUUUCUCCACACGAAGUCUGUUGUUUUCUUCUCUGUGAUCCUGCUAAGGGCUUCUACCUCUACCCACUUCGUGAAGUAAUCUAUAGCAACUAUUGCAUGUGUUGCAGCUCCUCGUGCCUUUGGCAAUGGGCCGAUCAGAUCAAUUCCCCAUUGAGCAAAUGGCCAGGGGGAGGUCAUGGAGGUGAGCUUCUCUGGUGGUUGGCUAGAGAAAUUUGCAAAACUCUGGCAGCUUACACAACUCCUGGUCUUUUCUUGGGCAUCCUGGUGCAUUGUCGGCCAGAAAUAUCCCUGCCUUAGAACCUUGUGGGCCAAGGAUCUCCCGCCAGAAUGAUUUCCGCAAAUUCCUUCAUGUACUUCUCUCAGUACGUAAUCCGCGUCGUCCUCAUCCAGACACCGAAGGAACGGUAGUGUAUAUCCUCGCCGAUACAGUACCCCAUCAAUCAUCGUGUAUCUCGAGGCCUGGGCUCUAAUCUUGCGAGCUUGCAGCUUAUCUGGUGGUAAUACCCCGUCUCUAAGGUAUGAGACUAUCGGGUCCCUCCACGAGCGUUUUUGUUCUAUCUGUAACACCCCCAAAUUCUGAUCGAUACUCGGGCUGGACUUCACCUCCAGAGGGACCGACUUGGGCAUUUUUGGGUCGGCUACUGCUGCCAUCCUAGCCAAGAUGUCUGCUCGACUAUUCUGCCCCCUGGGGAUUUGUAUCACCUCCGCGGUUUCGAACUUCCCCAUCAUCUGCCUGACUAUCUUCAGGUACUGCUCCAUCUUGUCAUCCCUUGGUUGGAAUAUUUCACUGACAUGAUUCGCAACCAACUGGGAAUCAGUUCUGAUCUUAACUCUGUCUACUUUCACGGCCAUAGCCAAUUCCAGACCUGCUAUCAAGGCUUCAUACUCUGCCUGGUUAUUCGUAGCUGCAAACUCUAACUUUAUAGCAUAAGAGAUCUCCUCCCCCUCGGGGCCUUCCAAGACAAUCCCUGCUCCUGAACCCCGCUCCCCUGAUGACCCAUCCACAGACACCUACCAUACUUGAGUUUCGUCAUUGCCUACAACCGCCUCUUGUUGAUCUAAGCAUACUUCGGGCUCUGUGAAUUCAGCUAUGAAAUCGGCCAUCGCCUGGGCUUUUAUCGCUGCGCGGGGUUUAUAGUCUAUGUCGAACUCGCUCAGCUCUACGGCCCACUUGACGAGCCGACCAGAGGCAUCCGGCUUGUGCAGAGUCUGACGCAAUGGCUGGUUUGUUAUUACCGAGACCGGGAAUGCUUGAAAAUAUGGCCUCAACUUCCGAGCAGCAACCACAAGGGCAAGUGCCCAUUUCUCCAACGGCGGGUAUCUGGUCUCAGCGUCGAGCAGGGCCUUGCUGGUGUAGUAUAUCGGGUACUGAACUCCUUCUUCCUCUCUCACCAGAACAGAACUGGCGGCCCGAUCCGAUAUCGCCAAAUACAGAUAUAACUUGUCCCCAUCCCUUGGUGUGGACAGCAGCGGAGCUUGCUGCAAGUAUUGCUUCAAGUUCCGGAAGGCUUCCUCGCAUUCUGGGGUCCAUUCUGUUUUCUUUCCCCUCCUUAUCACUUGAAAGAAUGGCUGACACUUAUCUGUAGCCUUGGAGAUGAAUCUGCUCAACGCCGCCAACCUCCCCGUGAGGCUCUGCAUCUCCUUCAGGUUACGAGGAGACGUCAUUUGCACGAUCGCCUGGAUUUUCUCGGGAUUUGCUUCAAUCCCCCUAUGGCUCACCAUGAAUCCAAGGAAUUUCCCUGACUCGACCCCAAAAGCACACUUCUCCGGGUUGAGCUUCAUCUUAUACUUCCUCAAAAGCUCGAAUGUCUCCUCGAGGUGUCCGACAUGUUCCUUCGGGAUUUUGGACUUGGUGAUCAUGUCAUCCACGUACACCUCCAUGGUUUUCCCAAUCAACGGCUUAAAGACUUUGUUCACCAGCCUCUAAUAGGUGGCCCCAGCAUUUUUGAGACCGAAUGGCAUUACCCUGUAACAGAACAAACCUUGGUUAGUGAUGAAGGCCGUGCUCUCCUCAUCCUGCUCGUACAUGGGGAUCUGGUUGUAUCCCGAGAACGCGUCCAUGAAGCUAAGCAGACCAUGUCCAGCAGUUGAAUCUACUAGCUGAUCGAUCUUUGGUAAAGGGAAGCUGUCUUUUGGGCACGCCUUAUUGAGGUCUGUGAAAUCCACACACAUCCUCCACUUGCCGUUUGCCUUCUUUACCAGCACCACAUUCGAUAUCCACUCAGGGUAACUGACUUCCCGAAUGAACCCUGCUCUCAAGAGCUUCUCCACCUCGUCAUUUAUAGCCUCAUACCUCUCCUGGUUGAAGCACCUCCUCUUCUGCCUUACUGCCCGAGCACCUUUCUUCAUUGCCAGCUUAUGACAUGCUACCUCAGGGUCAAUCCCUGGCAUGUCUUCAUGUGUCCAAGCAAACACAUCAGCAUGAGCCUCUAAGCAUUUCACCAACUCCUGCUUUUGCUCUCCCUUAAGUCUCGACCCGAUUCUGAUCGUCUUUCCCGGGUUCUCUGGUCCCAGGCUCACUGUUUCCAGAUCCUCUACAGGUUCUUGUCUGCCCUUCUUGUUUUCCACUCGGGUAUCGAGGGAUGUUAUCUGAAUGGCCUCCCUUGCUGCCGAGGAGUAGCAGCUUCUUGCGAUCCUCUGGUCUCCUCGUACCACUCCUACUACCCCAUUCACCCGGUACUUCAGAGCCAGAUAAUGGUUGGACAACACCGCUUUGCUCAUCCUUAAAAAUGGCCGACCUAGGAUCAUCUGGUAAGGACUUUCUUCAUCCACUACGACGAAGUCCAGUAUCAUUGUUCUUUUUGUCGGGGAGCUCCCAAUUGUGAUAGGCAGCUCGACCACGCCCAGAGGGACCAGCUUCCCUCCUCCGAACCCCUUCAAGGAGGUAUUGGUGUAUUCCAACUUCCGGUCGGCUAUUCCCAUCUCUUCCAGGGUUGACUUAAAUAACACAUCAACUGAGCUCCCCGUAUCAAUCAGUAUCCGAUCAAACUCCUUGCUCGCGACAGUAGCCUUGAUGACUAGAGCAUCCUCGUGGGGGUAUAGAAUCCCUUCCUCAUCCUCAUCCGUCCACAUGAUCGGCACUUGCCUGACUCUUGCUCGUUUGGCUGCUGGGGUGCUGAAGAGUACCUCUUUACUGGUCAUGGCGUACCUCGCAUAAUUUUUUCUCGAUCUGUUGGAGUCUCCGGCCAAUGUUGGGCCCCCAGCUAUCAUCCUUACUGCGGGCUGCUCGCGCCUCAAGUUUCUACCACCCUGCUCCCCUUCACCUGUUGUGGCCUCCAUCGGGAAGGUCCCAUCUAUAAACUCGUCCAGGUACCGAUUUCUCACCAAAUCUUCGACCUGAGUCUUGAGAUCUCUACACUCUGCUGUGGUAUGGCCAUGAGUGCCAUGGAACUUACAAUAACGUCCUCUAUCCCUCCUGUUGGGUAGCUUUGUUAUUGGUGUAGGGGGGUGCAGCAGCCCUCGAUCCUUUAUGGCCUCGUACACCUCAUCCAGGGACAUCUUCAAGGAAGUGUACCGCCCAUAGUCCGGGUUCUGGUCGAUCAAGUGCACUGCUCUUUCUUUGUUUGCCCCGCUCUGAGUUGGGGGCGGUGGAAGUACUCCUGGUCUACUCGCUCUGCUAUCGUGGGGAAGACCACCAGAUGCCGACUCAUGUCUUCUCCAAGGCUCCCUAGCUGGGGAACGGGGAGGUUGCGCCCUGCUGCGCUGAUAUUGUGGUGGCCUCUGAUGAGGCUGGUAAGCAGUCAUCAGACCUCCUGCUCCACCACCGGAGGCCUGGUGGUCCCUCCUCCUGAUCGGCCCAUUCCCCGGUAAUGCUUUCUUCUCUUUCCUCCCCAACCCUUCUAAUUGGUCUGUCUUAAUCCGUGCAACCUUCUCCUCUUCGAUCUCGAUGUCUCUCUUUGCCUGUUCGUAUGCGGCUGCAUACGUUUGAAUCGCUGGGCUUCUCAGAUUGUACCACAGCCUUCCUAUCUUCACCCCUUCCUUCAAUCCCCUUAACGCCUGAGGGUAGUUGAAGGCCCCCAAGUCGAGGACAGCCCGAUGAAACCUCUUGAUGAAUUCCCGAAGGGUUUCUUGCUCCCCCUGUUUCAUGCUUUUCAGCUCCAUCAUGUCAUCCUCCGGUGCCAUUGCCCCACUAAACUGCUCCGCGAAUUCCUGGCACAUCUGCUCGAAGGUUUUAAUGCUGCCCCGAGGAAGUUUCCUGUACCAUUCUCGUGCACGUCCCUCAAGGGAGAGUGGGAACACCCUGCACCUUUGGGGUCGAGAUAAUCCUUGUACCCCGGUUAUGUCGUUGAAGCGCUCUAUGUGCACCAGCGGAUCAGUUCUUCCCGAGUAUCUGAGGUCUGGGAGGCGGAAAUCUCUCGGAAUAACUGCCCUCAUGAUCUCUGCUGCGAGCGGUGAUUCUCCGUCCAGCAUUAUUCUCCAACCAGGGGCUCUGUUCCUUCCUUGCAUGUCGUCAAUUAUCUGCGCUAGUCUGCGCACUUCCUCCUCCAGCUGCACUGCACGACCAGGGUCACGUGCUGCAACUUGAUCCCGCUCUUGCUCUACAUCAUGCACGUGUUGCCUCAACUCUGUUUCCUCCGCAUUCACCACCCCGUCGUCCUCGUCACUAGUCUGUCUUGCCGGGGACUGCUCUCGUUCUCUAUGAAAUUCUCCCCGCAGAGGUACAUUACCCCUCUCACCACCGAAUCUCCCGGUGGUUUGACUUCUCCCCGCACUAUCGGGACCUGGUGCCACUCCACCGCCUCUCACCCUUCCCUCUCGGGUUACCCCUCGCUCGCUCCGCAGCUCAUGCAAGAUGGUUGUCAAGGUUUCCAUCUGCUUUUCCAUCCGUUCCAUCCGGUCGAACAUGACUUUUUCCCGUGCCUCACUGACUAUCUCCCUCAGCGUCACGGAAUCGUUAAGCCUCCUAUCACCCCCUUGUGCACUACUUCCUCCUGUCUCCAUCGCUUUUCACUUGCUUCACCCCUCUCCUUGUUAUCAACAGAAGCUUUUUGCUCUCUCCUCCCCACAGACGGCGCCAAAAUGUUGAUGCGAGAUUCCGGUACUCCUCGUUCUACGACCAGGAUCUCUGCUCGAUCAACUUCAUCACGACCAGGGGGUCUCCUCGCGAGGCUUCUUCUCCAGAGGUUCCUGCGCACACAGACAAGUCAGGGUACGCCGGUUGUUUUCCCGGCGCAAACCCUCCGACGCUCAAGUCAAAUAUGAAGGCUCGGAGAACGCUGACCACCAAUGUUAUCGCUGUUGAGUUGUUUUCUCCCCUUUUAGAAUCAAAAUUGCUUCUUGUUUUGAUCUCAAAAAUGCCAACCUUUUUACCUUCGUUGGUUACCUUUUUAUAGGCUUCCCCUGAAUUCCAGUCUUCCGCUUUUUUCUAGACAGCAUGGGGCUCUCACUGCUGCGUUAUGGGCAAACGCGGAAUCUUGCGUGUUACGCCACGGUUCUGGGGAAAGCGUGGCUGUCGUGGUUCUGUGAGAUCUUGCGUGUUACGCCACGGUUCUGGGGAAAGCGUGGCUGUCGUGGUUCUGUGAGAUCUUGCGUGUUACGCCACGGUUCUGGGAAAAGCGUGGUUAUCGUGGUUCUGUGAGAUCUUGCGUGUUACGCCACGGUUCUGGGAAAAGCGUGGCUGUCGUACUUAGAUUCUCGGGCUGGGGAGCCCGUCUUGCCCACUGUCGUCGACUGGGUCUCCUCGCCUCUCGACCUCUAGCCGGAAUGGCCUUAUGCCUCUUACAGGAAAUUGGCCUCGUGGAUGACGUGCUCGUGGGUGAGCAGGAUAUUUCUGUUCCUGUUCCCCCGCGCGCCAGGCUUUUACGGGACAUACCGGUUCGCAGAACUCUGCCAUCAGAUAUCCGCUCACCAAGCCUGGUCUCGUCGACGUAUUUCUCCUAAACAACAAGCGUAACAAUUAAUUGAACCACAGAGAAAGAAAUUUCCGCAGUCCUAACUAGUUGCAUCUGCCUAUGUACUCUAGUUGCAGUUCUGGUUCUUCCCAUGAUAUAAGUAUACAUACUCGUAGCAAAACCAAAUGCUGACAAUAGAAAUACAGCAAGAAGAAUUAUUCUCUUCAUUUUUCCCAGGGUAGAUUGCCAAUUUUCCAGUUACUGUUAUCUCCUACCAUUUUUGUAAUCUCUAAUAAUUCCCCUAACAACAUAAGUUUAUAAUAUUACACUUAUUUUCAAAUACACUUUUAUUCAUAUUUAUUAUAGAUUAAAUAAAUCACAUGAAUCAUUUGAUUUUUAUUGCCUAAUCGAAUUGAACCGAACUGCCAUAAUACAGCUCAAUUAGAUUCAGUUUGGAUUGAACCAAGUCAAAUGCUCACCCCAAUCAAGAACAUGUUAUUUUAAUGUUCGUUUUCAUUUCAACUUGGGAAGAACCAAAUAGAAAAAGGGAAACAACCAUUUGACUCUCCUCCCUAUUUGAAAUUUUAAUGGCGUGGGAUUCUCUUUGAAAUUUCCAUUGAAAACUAAAAUCAAACAUAAUUUUCAUACCCGACUUCAUAGCAAUCCAAAUCUAGUUGAAUUAAGUACACAUAGACAAAUGUAUAGCUUAUGUGUGUACAUAUUUGUUAAUAUUACAAAAGGGUUCAUGAGUCCCUCUCACUCUACAAUAGGCAACUACAACUGCAACCCAUUCCUUUUUUCUUUAUUACAUUACAAUACCCACCAUGACCAUCUCCACCUACUUGCCUCUACUGCCGCCAGAUGCCUAAUGCUACUGCAUUUACCCUCCACUUCACUUUUUUGUUCAUGACUUUUAUUUGCCCAUCAUGCCAUUUUCAAUUAAGCCCAUUUUUCAAUUUAAAGUCAUCAUGGAUAACCUAGAUAUUUCUAUUAAGAGAUGCUAAUAACAUGUCGAUAAUCAAAGACUCAUUGCAACAAUAAUUCUAGUACAUGUUCAAGAGCAAUACUUCAUCAAAAUCAGUAUAGUUAAUUGUGCGGUAAGUAAAUUCUAUCACGUCGCAUGUAUAAGUAAUAAGUUGGCGAUAAUGGACAGAAAAAUAAAAUUUCUUUAUAAAUAUUUCAAAACAAAUUUGAUCUCGUCAAAAUAAUAAUUAUAACAAAAUUAUCAAAAUAAAUCUUAAUUUGUAAUUGUAAUCAAUUAGAAAUUAAGGAGAGCACAGAAAGAAGACCAAUGAAAGAAAUAAAUUAAAAAAGGCAGAGAUUGAGGCAGUCAUAAGAUUGAGCUUACCUUGAAUAGAGAUUGAGGCAGUCAUAAGAUUGAGCUUACCUUGAAUAGAGAUUGAGGCAGUACGGAAGCGACGACGGAGAUUAAGGGACUACAACAGCGAUGAUGAAUAGCUGAGUAUUGAUGAUGGGUGGAAGCUGUUACGACCUUAGGGUGAUGACGACAGUGGAUUUAUUACCGGCGACGACACAAAAUCAUAAAUCACGACAGGAGAUUUUGAAAAUCACGACAGGAGAUUUUGAACUUUCACGACAGGGGAUUUUGAACUUUCACGACAGGGGAUUUUGAACUUUGGUGCACAGGAGAUGAUGAUAGCAAAAGAGACCAGACUUUGGUGCAUGGGAGUCAACGGCAGUGGGUAGUCGAGUGACGCCGGCGACGUGGUAGAUUUAGGGAUUUUGUAAGUUUUCGUUUGUAAGUUUUAUUCACUUAGACGAAAUGAGGGUAAGAGAUCGAUUGGGGAUUUUGUUUUUUAAUUUUUGUUCUUUAAUCUUUUAAUAUAAUAUUUGGGUCUUAAUUCUAUCGGUUUGCUGGUUUGCGGAACAAACAUAAGUAUUUUAGAUUUUAGAAGUCUUAGGUUCGAGUUCAAAGUUUUACCAAUUCUAAUUAUUUUUUUUAAACUUUUGAUACUGUAGUAUUAGUGAUUUUUAAUAUUUAAUUUACUGACACGUUAGUAUCAAUAAUUUAUAAUACUUGUUUGUUAAAAGCGGAAAAUGGUGCAUAUGUACAUAAUUACUGAUACUUUUUAUAAAGUGUCAGAAACUAAGUGUCAGUAAAGGUCAUUUUUUUAGUAGUGAGUGCACCUUGCCUCAUGGUUCUCUCCCCUUUUACUUUUUCUCUAUGGCUGGUAAUCUGUGAACCACACGAGCCUCUAAACCGCCUGGUGCCUUUAGGCACGUUAUAGAAUGAUUUUAAGCAGCAUAGGACAGAUCUUAAACCAUGGCAGCAAAUACUCAAGGCAAUAAAUUGACAAUACAAUAAAAAUACAACUGUUACGUUAUUAAAAAAUUCCAAUUUGAAAAUACGAUUAAAACUACUGAAAUAUUUAUUAAGAGAAAUUUAUUGAAUCUCUUUCAUCUAAUCAUAAGGAGACAGAGAUAAUCUUAAAGAAUCCAAUUAUAAAAACAUGAACGUGAGCGAUAAAGAGAGAUUGUAUUUGACUAUAUCUCUGUUUCUUUUUCAUUUUAAAUUUAAAAUUACCUAUUUUACAGGUUUGUUAACCAAUUAACAUAAUUAAAAAUAAUUAAAAAUUUUCAUUAAUAUAAAUAAUAUGUACUGUUGAUUAGAUCUAACGGUAUAUAUUUCCCACACUACUGAUACCGUAAAAAAAUUACGGUAUCAUAAAGGGACCCUUGAAAAUAUUAUUAUUAUUAUUUUCAUAAAUGCUCCAAAUAUAAGAUUUAUAGCUCUUAGAAUUUUAUUUUUUUUUCAUAAAGGGUCCCUUUAUUCUUCUUGGUUGAAAGCAUAAAUAAAGGGUCCCUUUAUUCUUAUUCUUCUUAGUUGUUAGAAUAAUAUUGGACAAGAAAUAAUUGAGUAUGUUGAAAAUUCUCAAGAAAAUUAUCCAUUUGGAAGCAUAAAUAUAAGACAGAAAUAUGAAAUUAAUGAACUUAAUUUGAAGAACGUUUAUUAGCAUUAUCUAUACGAUCAUGCAUAUAUGAGGCCUAUAAGAAGGUUAAUGAUUCUUACAACUCAUGGUAUUUAUUACAGCCAGAAUAAAGUCAACUAAUUACAUAUGCAAGAGAAAUAAUUAAGUAAUUAAGUUGUAAUUAAUUAAUCACAAAGAAUGGCUCAUGUACUUUUUAGAUUGAAGCCCUUGCUGGGAAGUUCAAUUCACUUUUAUCACAUAUGAUCAAAACCACAGUUUCUAGUGUAAUUUUUUGGGGGUUUUGUUGAUUACAUGGAAAGCAACUAAUUACUACAGCUGAAGCAUGCAAAACAAGAUUAGAAGCACAAUACUUUUUGGAUCUGAAGGGGCAAUUUUUUUUUCAAGUUUGUUAUAUGUUCUUUUGUGAAGACCUGAAGAUUUUAGAGCCAGAUUAAUAAUUUUGUCUCUCUUAGGCUUUAUGCGGUGGGAAUGAACUUUCUCUCUUUUAAUUCUCUGUCGUUUUCUCAAUGAAGGCAACAAGAGAAAAUUCAAUCUUUCAAAGUCUCAACAUUCAGAAUUUGGCCAGUCUAGUUGUCGACCUUGCAUCUGCUACAGUAUAAUAUCGCCAAGAGAUUUUUUCGUUGCACUUUACGAAUUUAUAUUAUUUUGAGGAGGGAAUUUAGCUGACUAUUAACGUCUUACAAUUGAAAUUUAAAUGUCGGUCUUUAAAUUCUAAAAAUUAAAGACAAGCCCAAUAUGAAAAUAUAGAUGUUAAAAUCUUCAUUUUUGUUUAUUGAUACUUUAUUUGUUAGUAUCAUUAUUUUAUAGAUAUACUUGAUGUUACACGAUUGACUAAAUAUUUCCAUUAAAAUGCAGAUGGAAAGAAAAGAUGAUGGAGGGCUCCAUAAAAGCAUAAAAACAAACGGAGAGGGUGAAGCAAACUUUCAAAAUUGCAACCAUGAGAAGGAAUCGACAAAGCUUAAUGAAAAAAUAGAUGGGAUGACUUUUAAUCAUGCCACUGUUAGGUAUGAACUUGGUGAGCUGAAGAGGAACAAUUUAGAUACUUAUGCAUUGAUACAAAAAAUGUAUAUUGUAGUUGGAGCACUUAAACAUAAUAUAACUCAUAUGCAAUCACACCCAUGGAAGGAAAAGAUGAACCCUUCUAGUAAAGAUGUUCAAAUAGUAAAAAUGAAUCAGGUGGUCAAAAUUUCGCAGGCAAGGGAGAUGAGUUUAGGGUGAGGAUCGCAGAGAUUAAGGACAAUAUUGAAGACGCAUGUGGUGAAAAUUUAUCAUUGAAAAUAUUAUUUGCAUAUAGGAAACUGAAAGAGAACCAAAUCUUCCACAACUGCCUUGGAACUACGCAAGACCCGAAGUUUCUGAAUUAAUUGAUAUCAAUUAACAAGGAAUAAAAUUACAAAUUAUUUAUUUCUAGAAAUAUUAUUCCUCAAGAGUUCAAAUAAUUUUACGGUUAUCUUUUUGAAGAUUUUUACAUGAAGAUAUGGAUUAAAGAAUGCCAACUGCUCAAAAUCACUCAAGCAACCAAGUAUAUGAUUAUAAGUCAAAUUUCAUGAUUUAACUGUAUUGAUCUAUAAUAUAUGAGAUUGCAUAAUAUAUAUAUAUCCUUUGAUAGAUAAAUGUGUCUAGUUAUGGAUGAAAUUUAUAAAAUCACAUUUGGACUUCUCUUCUUAAAGAUUUUCACAAUUUAGUGCACAAAGGUCACAACUAUCUUGAAACUACACAAGACCCGAAGUUUCUGCAUUAAUUGAUAUCAAUUAACAAUUAAUAAAAUUACAAACUAUACAUUUCUAGAAAUAUUUAUUCCUCAGGAGUUCAAAGAAUUUUACGGUUUUUUAUUUGAAGUUUUCUACAUGAAGAUAUGGCUUAAAGAAUGCUGACUGCUCAGAAUCACUGAAGCAACCAAGUAAAUGAGUAUCAACCAAAUUUCAUGAUUUAACUGUAUUGAUCUAGAAUAUAUGAGAUUGCAUAAUAUAUAUUCUUUGAUAGAUAAAUGUGUCUAGUUAUGGACGAAAUUUACAAAAUCAAAUUUGGACUUCUCUUCUUAAAGAUAUUCACGAUUUAGGGUGCGUUUAGGAGUGAGGUGCUGUAGCUUUUAAGCUGCAGUUGCUGUGGAGUAAAAGCUAUAGAUGUGAAGUGGAAGUUGAUGGUGUUUGGUAAAGGUGCUGUAGCUUUUAAGCUGCAGUUGCUGAUGGUGUUUGGUAAAAGUGCUGUAGAUUUUAAGCUGCAGCUACUGAUGGUGUUUGAUAAAUUUUAAUAGCUGUAGAGUGGAUGAAUAUUUGUAAUAACUAAUUUUAAAUAACAUUAUUUUUAAUUGUUAACAAAUCAAUUAUUUUUCAUUCUUCAAAUUAUUAUAUUGACAUACAAUUACAAUUUAUUACUUUACAAAUUAAAUUAAUAUUUAAUAAAUCAAAUUUAUUUUUUUGCACAAGUUGUAGUAAAUAAUUUAUAAAACACAUCAUGGGGCCAAUUAUAAAUAAUUUUAAAUAACUAUUAUUGACAAUGCCAACCAGGCAGUGUACAUGAUAUGCUUCUCCAAAUUGCUUCGGUUUGUACAUGAUAUGAUUAAUCGAGUAUUAUUUACAAUACCAAAUAUAUCUAAUAAAAAUCAUACAACAAAACAAAACAAAAUAAAAUUAAAAUGUAAUUAAUUACAAAAUUUGUAUAAAUAUUUCUGUUGUUGUACCUCCAUUAAACUUGCAGCAAUGCCAUUUUUCAAGAUUAUUAUAUCUUGAGUUGUGCUAUCAAUUGUUUCAUAACUUUCUUCAUGAGAUGCAAUAUGUUCGCUAAUACUAUGACUUGGUUCAUCCGUCAUUUCAUCAAAAUGAUCAUUAUUUUGUGAAUAUCUUCUGAUAUAAUUAUGCAAGGCCAUGGUAGCAAUAACUAUUUUCACCUGCUUCUUGAAUGGAUAGCUUGGCAUACUUCGUAAAAUCUUCCAUGUAUUCUUCCAAAGCCCAAAAGUACGCUCAAUAACACUUCUUAAGGAAGAGUGCUUGUAGUUGAACAAUUCUUUAUAACCCAUUGGUUAGCUACCUCUACAAAAUUCAGGAAGGUGAUAUCUUUCACCCUUAUAUGGUCCUAAGUACCCACAUAACUCCGGAUAUCCUGCAUCUACUAAAUAGUAUUUUUCUAAAAAUAAAAAAGAAAAAUACAAAAAUAAAUAACACAAUCUAAUCAAUUGAAUAAGUAUAUAUAAAAAAAAAUUAGAAACACAAACCUGGAGGAGGGUUUGGAAAAUUGAACGCAGGAUUCGUAAUAGUUGUUUGAAAUACCCUUGCAUCAUGGGCACUGCCUUCCCAACCAGCCACUGCAAAUAUGAAUUGCAUAUCAAAGCUACAUACAACCAUUACAUUUUGAGUUUAUGUCCCUUUUCCACCAAUAAAUGGAAUUUGAUCCUCCGAAGAUAUUGAGUCAGGUAUACGAACACCAUCAAUAGCACCAAUACAAUCCUUAAAGUAAGGCAUAUAUAUUGAAUCUUCAGAUAUCUCUUUGGGAGUGGUAAUAAAGUCAGGAUCUAACGGUUUUAUCAAAUCUACGGACAUACGACACACACUAUCAAAUAUUUUGUCAAAAUAUCUACUCACAGUCUCACCAGAAUGUUGGAACCGCUCCAUUGUAGACCGAUUUCCUACACUUUGUCCUAGUAUAUACAAAAACAUUCCUAACAUCUCAGCGCCACAUGUUCUCCUUGAACUCUUUAACCCAUAAUUAUCUUCUAAGUCGGUGCAUAAUCUUAAAAAUACAUCACUAUUCAUUCGAAACAUGUUAAAGCACCUGCUUACAUUUCCACCAAGUAUUUCUAUCAACCAUUUAUGCCCUGUUUGAGUAGAAUUCAUACAAGGCUCCUUAUGGAUGAAUGUCAAAUAAUAAUGAUGCAUCAAAACAGCUGUUACACAAACAAGCUGGUCAAACUCCUCUUCAUCAUUAUCCAUAUUUUUAUAUCAAACUAUCAGCUGGCUGAAUUCAAACUCCACUCUCAAAGUAAAUUAAAAGGGAGUAUGCCUACCUCGUUAGAAUUGCUUCAACAGGAUAAAUUAAUUAUGUAUGCUUGGGCAUGUGGAUUUUGUGAAGGAAAUUAUACACCAAGAGCCAGAGCUUGCUGAAAGUUUAAGACAUAAUUAUGGAAGAUAUACUAAUAAUAAUUUCAAUGCUAUUAUUUUUCCUCAAGCAAAUAGUCCAGAAAAAUUUCCAUUUUCUAAAGCGUACAAACAUAUCAUAUCGUAAAGUAAAGAGAAAUUUUUUUUCCAUAAUUCUCAUAUUAAUGUUUAUAACAAAACUUCUCUAGCUGGCCUCUCCAGUAGAAACUCAUCUAAGUAAAGAGAAAAAAAAUUCUAUACCGAUCAAGUGCACAAGAAGAAAUAAAAAAUGAAGGGAUUAUUUUUUAUACUUUGGAGGAAACUCAUUGUUUCAAAACUGGCAAGUGUAGAUUAACGUUUAUUACAUGGAAUAGAAAAUGGCACACCAUAUAAAUGCAAUAAAGUAGUCAAAACUGAACUUUCAAUAAGGAAUUUUCCUUACAGUAGUGGUGGAGCAGGCAACAAAAGCAAUAUGAGGAUCUACUUUUGGCGAACAACAUGCAAAAAAUCACACCUUUUUCAAAAGUUCUCAUGCCAUCACUUGCACACACUCAUGGUCACACCUAUUACUAAUCUACUAUUUCAUGUAAUAUAGUUAUAUUCAUUCAAGACCAUAUUUAUAAAAUCAUAUCAACCAUUUUUCAUAAAUAAUGUGCAACUGCAACCCUAGAAAAAACACAUACGAAGAAGUAUGAUUUCCAUUCUAGAAUUUCCAUUCAACACUGCAAAGGCUGUCGCCCUAGUUUUCACACAAAAAUACAACAAAAGUAGGCCAUGGAGCAUGUCAGAAUUACAAAACUUAACCGUAUAGGAACUAAUACCAAAAACACAUAUGCUAUUAUUUUUCCUCAAGCAAAUAGUCCAGAAAAUUUUCCAUAAAUAAGCCUCAAGCAAAUAAAUCAAUAGCAACAAUUCAUAUACAUUGUAAAUGUAAUAUAAAGUGUAAUCAGUGACAAAAUAAAAAGUAUUCAUUCAUAAACAUAAUUUACAAAAUAUUGUUUCAUAAAUACAAUACAUUUUCACUUUGUAUUUUUCUCAUAAUUAAGCCAUUUCAAUUUGACAUUUGGAUCUUCUAUCUCAUUAAAUAAAUCCCUUUUCACUUUGUCCGUAAACAACUGACUAGCAAAUAACCACACUUUACUCCCAGCCUCAAUGUUUGGUAAAGAAGCAACCACUUCCAAUGCUUUAUAAAUCUCUUUCCCACUUGUAUCAUUUUGAGAGUUUGAAGUUGUGUUCCUUUUCUCUACUGCAUCAAUGAGACGAUCAAGCUGCCUUGAUAGUUUUACAGCACCUCCUACUUUGUUCCCUUUUAAGGCCACUCUUUUACCUUUGCUUCCCUUACUAUCAUCAGACACAAUAUACUCAUCAGAGUCAGCAGUACUCUCAACACGAAGAGAUUCAGAUGCGUCAUUACUCUCUAAAGGAAAACCAGAUGAGGGAACCCAAACAUGCUCACCAGUAGCCACAGUGUUCAUGAACAUUAAAUUUAUUUUUUUCUCCAACUCUGGAUCAAUACCAUUUUUCCGAAAUCUACUGAAUUGCAGAUUUUCCUUUAUUUUCUUUUCCCACCAUUCCUCACUUGCAUCAAUUGUCCUCAACCUAUGAUUCCACCCUAAACCAGCUUCCUUACCAAUCAAAUUCUUCCACAAUUUCCAAUCAGUUCUAAAAGAAUCCCAUUUAUUUUUCAUUUGAGUUCUGUUGUAAUCUAAUCCAGUUUCUCUAAUGAACUCCUUAAUCAAAUUUUCAUAUCCUUGGGAAGUCAAAUGAGUCCCAGGACGAUGUCCGGCAUCCACCUCUUUAAUGCAUAAGUCACAAAAUACAUCUAAAGUCUGGGGGUUCCAGGUAGCCUUACUAGUUGAGCUAUUAGACAUAAUUUCAUACACUUAAACCUAGGAAAAAAAAUAUUUCUUUGUCAAACAACAAUACAGGAAAAAUAAGAACAUAGAAGUUAAGAAAAUUACUAGAAUCUUGUUAUGGAUGGUGGAAGGAAAAAUAAUUCGAUAUUAAAAAAUUUUUAAAAAAAAGACAAACCAGAACAAGUUACUUUAGUUGUUACUUUACUUGAAAUACUUUUAAUCAAACACUUAGUUUACUUGAAAUACUUUUCCAGCAAACAAUAAUGAUCAUAGCCCACGAAUAGAAACAAUUACAAGCAAGUCAAUAAAGUAACAAAAGACAAACCAGACUAGGAAACAAAGAAAUUCAACUAAACAAUCAUUAGGUACAAACUGCAAUUGCAUUUAGCCUCACAAUCUCAAAUUUGCUACGUGCUUUGAUAUUUCCUGUACUAUUCUUUUGGCCCAUCCCAAAGAAAUUGGAUAAGACCUAUACAAUUGCAAUUGCAACACUUUCCCCCUUCUUUUGACUGUGCCAAAACAUCAACUUGAAAUCUGGAAUUUGACAAACUUCCCUUUGUUUACUGAAGCAUAGUAUUUCAUAACGUAGGCAUGCAUUUUAUUAUUUAAUGUUUUGUAGAACUAGAAACUCAAAUCAAACAGGGGCUGUGCAUGUCUACAAAAAGCAACUACAAAAAUAAAAACUACGAUAAAAACAAUGGUUACAAGCAAAUAAAUCACACAUGACCCAUCACCCAUCAAUUUAUUCUAAACAAAAGCCCCAACAUUUUAUGAACGAAAAGGAAGAAAAUGAAAAAUUGCUUGCAAUAGAGUAAAGGAGCACUAAAAAAUGAACAACAGGUAGAGGAAAACGCACCACUGACAGAGGCGUAUGAGAGUGGCCAGUGUCGGAAUCGCAUCAAUUGGAACUCCCACAGUCGGAAUCGUGCUGAUGAGAAUGGGUGUUUAGGGUUUGUUUAAAAAAAUUGAUUUGAAAUAGAACUCCCACUGACACGACUGUUUGAUAAAAUUAAAAUGGAAUAAUAUAUAAGGCUAAUUUAGUAAUUAAACUUGCAGCUGGGAAAACAAAUCUGCUAAAUUGUCAAAACCCAGGUAUAAGUGUUACCAAACACUUUAGUAGCUGGGCUUUGACAACCCAGCUACCUCACCACACUCCCAAACGGGCCCUUAGUGCACAAAGGUCACAACUGUCUUGAAACCACACAAGACCCGAAGUUUUUGAAUUAACUGAUAUCAAUUAACAAGGAAUAAAAUUAGAAACUAUAUAUGUCUAGAAAGAUUUAUUCCUCAGGAGUUCAAAGAAUUUUACGGUUUUCUAUUUGAAGGUUUCUACAUGAAUAUAUGGCUUAAAGAAUGCUGACUGCUCAGAAUCACUGAAGCAACCAACUUAAAAAAUGUAUUAGUUCUUUGUCAGCCUCUUUCCCCUAGAAGCAUGACUGCCAGACAUUACAUGCUCAAUUUUCUUACAUUUCUACAUGUUUUUUUUUGUUUUGUCAAAUUAUCGAACAAGUGUUUGAUUUUAAAGCAUUGGUCAUUACAUGGUUACAUAGCUGAAAUCUCCACAUAACCAUCUCUCUACUCAACAACAAAAUAAUCAUAACAGUUCUAAAUAUCAAAUUACAAAGAAUAUAUACAGUACUAACUUUGUUGAUCAAUAUCCAUUGCUUUCUUGUAAUGAUAGCUCCUAGAUUUACCUUGAACAUAAAUUUUUUGAAAACUCAAAAACUUGAUUAAUUGCCAAAAAACUCUACUCAAAUUUAUUUAGAUUGAUUGACCAAAAACUCCACUCAAAUUUGUUCCUUGAUGAGAUAUUGUUUGCUGCUUGCAAAUAUGAGUUUGAAUUGUGUUUUAUUGAUACGAACUUAUUCUACCAACAGUAAGCGGUUAACAAGUUGUAUUUGUUAAAAUAAACCGUGUGGGAUCGUGUAGUUUGCUCAAGUCCGAGAAAUUUUAGUGACCACCCCUACAAUUUUAAAUAUUCUCACAAUUUCACUUAAAUAACAUAUUUUGUUUAAUUACACAAAAUUCAUGGGAAUACUUAAUUACAUUUUAAAGUUUAUUUUACUAUGUAUCCUUCACCAUUCAUUAUUGGCUUUUCGUAAUUUUAUUAAGUAAUAAUGUCAGGCCAAACAUGAAAGAGUUUCAACAUUUAAUUAAUUUGAAAACUCAAUGCGAUACUCAAAAUUGAUAAAAUAGUACUUAAUUCAUAUCCUUAAUGUUAUAAGAUAAUUCGAUUAUCAUGUAAUCAAAAUAAUUUCAAAAUUUAUCAAUCGGAUAUAGUUUGUGCGGUUAGAUUAUUUUAUUCUAAUGCAUGGCCAUGGAAGAUUAACGGAAGUUAUAUGUGUAUAUAUAUAUAUAUAUCCAGUGGUGCAAUAUAUGCAAUAGCCUUUGAUUUCUCAUGGUAUAUUUUAUUGGUUUACUAGCUUAUAAAACCAUAUGCAAAUGCUGAAAAUUGGACUACAGUUUGAAAUAUCACGUGGUAUAUCUCAUUUGACAUUAGAUUAAUGUAUCUAGUGCCCAUAAAAUAUGGUUUACUUUAUUAGUCUACAAAUUAGCUUUUGUUAAUAUUUAUAUUUCACAUAUCAAUUCAUAAUACAUUAUGGUAAUUACGACUUUAAUUUCCCACCUAUUAAUAAAUAGGGGUAAAUAGAAGUACUGAAUAUGUGUGUGUGUCCAUUACUUCAUAUGUUUUAAUAACUACAAGGAAAAUCACCUCUACUAACCUUUUCUCGUGCCAUUUUUAUUACAUUUUACCAAUUGUCUUUUAUAAUACUAUUUUGUAAAAGAAAGCUAAAAUUGACUACUCAAAAAUGUCUUUAUAUUUUUUAUUACAUUUUACAUAAAAUUUUCUUAAUUUAGCCGGCUUUAACAUACUUAUUAAUAUUCUUGCUGUCUUGCAUCCUCAUUCUACGUUUUUUCGAAUGAUUUUCCUAUUAAUGAUUCAACAAUGUUUUUCAAUCCUCGACAAGUUUGAAAAAAAAAUAAAUUUGAUGCUCUUCAACUUUUAAUAAUUAUUAGUGGAAUUCAAGUGAUCACGGGUACAAAACACAACUAUUCAAUUUAAUUAAUUAGAAAUCUACCUACAUAUUCAAAUUUAUGAGUGAGUCUGAGUGAUAAUGACUCAAGAAAUCGUGCUGACUAAUAAGACUAGCCGACAAUUUUCCUCCCGAGGAAUUAUAUUGAUAAUAUUUCAACUGAUUGUUGAUGAUGCUAAUUAAAGUUAUUGAAAUUUAAAGAUAUUAUCAGCUGUUGAUUUGAAUAUUACUCCAAUAUAGAAAAUGCUACAAAAAUUUAAAUUAAUUCAAUUUUGCGCCAACUGUAUAAAAUCUGUAUCAUCCAUCAAUGUUAUAUCCAUUGGGAAAAAGAAAAUCAAUUUUCCACCUAAUAAUUGCAAAUAGUAUCAAUUUCCACCCUUGAGUCUUGACUAAAGAAUACGACCUGUUUUUAUUUUUUUGCCUGUUUUUAUUGUCCUUUCACUUUCUUUAAUUUUUGUGCUUUAUGGAUUUGUUUGGCACACUUUUUGCAUUAAUUGUAUUGUGUUACGAUGUAUUGCAUUAGGAUAUCUACAUUGCAAUAUUAUGUUUGGCGCAACAUAGACAAUAUUAUGAUAAUAAUAUUAUUUUUAUAUUGAUGCCAAAAUUAAAUUAAUAUUAUUUAAAUUUAUUAAUAUUUUAGGAUUCCAUUAUUAAUUAUUGAAAUUAAGUAUUAAAUAAUUAUUUUUAUAUAUUAAUUUUAUAAUAAACAUGAUUUAAUCAUAUACUAUGAUUAAAUAAUAAAACACUACAAUACUAUGUUCUAAUAUUAAUAAUAUUAUAUUAUAAUCUAAUUUAUCUCUAUAUAUUAGUUAUCGGAAUAUAGUAUAAUCAUAUUAUAAUGUAGUAAAAUUUAAUAUUAUAUUUAAAAGUAUAAUACUACAUAAUUACAUAAUAUAAAUUAAAUUAUAUUAUAUUAUAUUUAUAAAACAAUAUGAUAUUAAGUUAUAAAUUAAUUUUUAUUGAAUAAUAAAUGAUAAAAUAAAAUUAAAAUACUUUUUCAUAUUUAAAGUAAAUAAUUAAAAUGAUUAUAUUUAAUGAAAUAAAAUAAUGUAUAAUCAUUUAUUUAUUAAAUAUUUAGGUGUGUUACUAUCUUUUAUUAUUAAUUAAAUUAAAUUUUUAUUUAAAUAUAAAUUAAUAUAUAAUAAAUUUAAAUUUCCUAUAAUUCAUUAAAUAAUAAAAGUUAUAUGAUUAUAAUUAAAAUAUAAACAAUGUUUGACUAUAAUACAGCUGAAACCCUACCACCGUCUCCCCUGCGAAUCUAUUUUAUACACCUUUUCUUAUAUUUGCCAACUUUUAAAUGUAGUGCAAUGCAACUAAAAAUUUUAACCAAGCAUGAGUUAGCAUAAGAGUAGUGUUUUAAUGCAAUUGCAAUACAAUGUAAUGCAAGUUGCCAAAUGUAUCACAAAUUAUAAUGUGACACAAAAUGAAAGUGAUGGAAGACUUACAUCCUUCUCAAAGAGAACAUUAUUAAUAAUUAAAAAAACUGAUAUAAAUGGAGUUUUAAUACCUUUUAUAUUUAAAUCCAAAAUAACGUAAAUUUAUCAAAAUAGGUAAAAUCAAGUUAUUUUUACAUAUUACAUGCACUAAAAUAAAUAUAAAACACUGACUUCCAAAAAAAAAAAAAGCAAAAUUGAGCUAAACUAAUAAAACUAAAAUGUAUGUAUAUUCUUUUUUUGGGGGGGGGGGAAAAAAGGGGGCCCCCAAAAAAAAAAAAAAAAACCUUUUUUUUUUUUAAAAAAAAAAAAUUUUUUAAAAAUUUUUGGAAGGGUUUUUUUUUUUUUUNNNNNNNNNNNNNNNNNNNNNNNNNNNNNNNNNNNNNNNNNNNNNNNNNNNNNNNNNNNNNNNNNNNNNNNNNNNNNNNNNNNNNNNNNNNNNNNNNNNNACAAAUAAUAAAUAAAUAUAAUGUGCCAUGAGAAUUUGGAUUAUAAAUCACCGUAACCAUAACAGCACCCAGUGAAAGCUGAUAGAAGCCUCCAUUACGCCUUUGUUUUACUCUGGAGGCUUGUAUCAGCUGGAACUUUCUUUGCAAAUAUUCUUGGAAAGACAAGCUGAGCCACCUUAAGAGCCUCAAUUUCAAAGUCUUGCUAACAUCUCACUACACAAGAAGAAAGAAUUAAUAUGUGCUUAGAUAAAAAAUUAGCAUAAGCUUAAAGGUUUUAAAUAACUAGUUACCUUGUAGCCUCCACCAAGACUGCUCUUAUGGUUUUCAAUGGAAAAACAAUUUCUGGCAUAAGCAUAUCUGCAUUUUCACCUGACACAAAUGUAGAUCAAAGUACCCUCACCUUAAUUCCCAACCCUCGAAUUUCACUCGUUUCCUUUUCAAAUUUCCAUUAUUCGAAAAAGGGGGAAACAGACGCAAACCUUUACCGAGGGGUUUAGGCUUGGAUCCCUCGAGUAGCUUGCUAACAACUGACCCAUCAACUCCAGCGCUAUAAGCAAUCGCGCUCACCAGCAUCUGCAGAUGCAGGCUCAACCAAUCAGAAGGCUCUGAAAAACUAGACAUUUUGUUACCAAUAUUCUCUACCAUGAUUCACUCUUGAGAUACAUAAAAGAUAAGGCUCAUGCCCCAUAACGAAAACCACGCAUGCAUUUUGUGAAGUAUAUGUCACUUUUCACCUUUCAACGAGGAAUAAUCUUAGCAGCCCUCUGCCUUUAGACAGAUAGACAAUAAGAGGUUUUAGAAAUAUCACAUACAUAAUUAAAAAGAAGAAUAAAGAAAACCUCAAGAGCAUAUUGGAUAACUUGAACACCAAUCUUCUGACCAUGGUUAGCAGUUUGCAAUUUAUCCAACUCCUUGCAGGCAUAUAAAAGUGACAUGACACUAACUGCAAAUGCAUCAGAAUACAUAUAACAUUUGUAUGUCAUGCAUCAAUCAAACAAGAUAGACCAACAAAAGCCAAAAAUAUAAGAGGUUUACCAACUCCUUCCUUUGCAGCCUUGACAGCAUUUAUGGCAUUAGCAACUCUAUCCUUCUUUUCACGCACUUCAGCUUUAUUACUUCCACAGACCUUACAACAACAGCACCCAUUUCAUUUCAAAUCAGAAUACUUCCUUACCUAACAUCUCUAAUUCAACAAUCUUUCAUCUCAACGAGCCAAAUUUCAUUUAUAGCAUGAUGCAACAACAGAAUAAGAUGCAGUCAUGUCUUCUAAAUGCAAUUACUGUAACCAAACAAGCAAAUUGAUUCAUCUUUGGCACGUUCCUAUUAGCAAGGAAUAUAUACUUCUACCAAAAUCCAGUUCCAAAACUUCACAUAUAUUAUAAUGUCUAAUUGACUGUUUGGUACUGUUUUUCUUCUCUUUUUCCCAUUUUAAAGUAUCAAAGUAUUUGUACGGUAUCAGUCUACUCUAUACUUCAAUUAUAAUCAUAUGAAGAUGGGAAUGUAAUUUGAAUCCAAAGAAUUAGUCAAUUAAUUAAAUCAUUUUAUCCAAAAUGACCUGAUCAUUGAUCCUCCCUAUAAAUGAGUUUAUUCAACUUUUUUAAUAGCAGAUAAAAGAAAAUUCAAAUUUCUUGGCUGGCCAACCAGGAUUUAGAGUUUAGACCUGGUCAUGACUUGGCCCAAAUGGAUCGUGCUAAUAGGUCAUGUUAGGCUGAGAACUUUCAUUCUAUGCCCAGCACAAGUCAGUUUCAAAGCUCUUGAAGAACUAAUUUACAAUUCCAAAUAACCAAACCUUUAUAACAGCAGCGAGAUAAGAGUGCUUUGUACAGCUCUCUUCCGGGAAAUCUUGUAAAUUUUCCAUUGUGAAUCUCCACUGUAACAACUGCAACAGACAUAUUUAAGAAAAGAAAAUUAGCGAAAGGGUAAGCAAGUUGUCCAAAAAUAUAGAAACAGCCCAAAGAAGCACAAAAGAGCCAAACAGUAUAAACUGAAAAGCAGAGUCGCUUCAAAUUAUAAACACAAUUGAAAAUUCUGGUAACUUGUUGGAAAAUCAUGUGAAAUGUCACAACACAGACCUUUUCGUGUCCUAUGCAAGCCUUACAAAGAAGGAUAACCGUCUGAUCCUUUGAUACCGUAAUCUACAAUGAUAAAAGAGGGCUAAGACAUAUUGUUUGAGCAAAACCUCGUCUCUCUUGUCAAUAUACACAAGGAAAUGAAAAUUAAUAUAUUACUAUGCCAAAGUUGUACCAGAAGAAAGGAUUAAAGUCCACCAGAAACAAGGAUGAGAAGAACGUUCUCAUGAUGUGCUCUACUUAGGUAAAAUAAAUCUUUUCUUCACACCAAAGAAAAUUAUAUACCAGUCACUGAUAUCUGAUAUCUCUCACCUUCUCAGCAUGGCCAAGAGAUACGCAUUCAAAAUCUUUUCCUGUCAUGACCUAAAAGAGAAAGAAAGGAACACAUUGUUUUGUAAAUCACAUAAUAAUCAUGCAAAGCAAGGUGGAGCAUUUAUCAAAUGAACCAACCUUCCCAUACGUGAAUUUGGCAAUGUCCCGAAGGCUAGCCUUCCUACUUUCUCCAAAUCCAGGAGGUUUUAUGACACAAGCCUUCAAGCAAUUCAGAACCCACAAAAAAUGAGAAGACAUAUGAAACUUCACUUUGUAAAAUUAAAUGAAUAAUUGAAUGAUAGAAGAUUCUUCAAGUAGGCCAUCUCUUAACAGCAAAACACUGUCAAGUAUAAGUUCACCUUGGUUGCUGUAGCCACUCCAUUUAAGACAAGACUUGCUAGGAGAUCAUUUUCAAUAUCUUCAGCAAUGAUCAGUACAUCUGUGCCAUUAUAUCUUCUAACUGGUCCAAUCUCUGUCAAUAAGUCAAAGAAGACGCAGUUCGAAACCUUUUUCUCAAGGAUCAUGAUAUAAGGAUCUCGUAAAACCUAGUAAAAAUGAAAUCACUAGUUGAUUAAUAACAAGGCUGAUCCAAAGUUAUAUCUUCAUGGUAAGAACUAAGCAAUCUCAAUUACUUCAUUGUCAAUAUAUCUAUCCUUUAUAGAAUCACAAAUUUCUCAUAAAACGUCAAUUAAUUUAUUGAUAUCUCAAAAUGCUUACACAUUCUUUCGUCUUAUGAUUGGUGAUGAAGUAAGGUGACAAAUAGCCCCUGUCUAGGGUCAUUCCCCAAUACAACUGAAGUUCAAUACUGGGUGGUGUUUUCCGAUCCUGCAAUAGUAGUGAGGCAGUAGAAAAUAAACAUAAAACAGUAGAGGAAACAAAAUGGAAGGUUCUGAAACAUAACAACCGAAUCAGAGGCACAGCAGAUAAGAAAAAAGUAAAGACGAUGAAAAAUUCAAGAAG
rnacentral:lncRNA from 1 species